AUUUUAUAACUCAAAAGAGCGUCGUGCUAGUGCAGGCAAAUUAAGUAUCGCUUAACUUUCAAAAAAUGAUGCUUUUGACAGAAUUGAUUUUUGAUUGCGCCAGAUCAAUUUAUUAAAUCUGAUCCUCAUUUUGGUAAAUAAAUUUAAUUUGAGGCAGCUCAAUGAAUCUAGUAUGCUGGAAUGAAUCUGAUGCAUCUUUUAUAAAUGUCACUUAAUUUCCAGCUAAAAUAUAUAAUUUGGUCCCCCCCCCAAAUGUAAUAAUAAUAAUGGACUAUACAUACCAGCCAACUUGAAUGCUAUUCAAUUUGAGAAGAUAAGAGAGGGCCCAUGCAUUGGUUGGGCAUUAAAAUUUGAAGCUUUUAAAAAUUAUUAUUAUUGCCUUGGGCUUUAAAUUUUAUAAGAUUGAAGGGUGUUGGAGUCUUCUAGGUUCGGAUUUUUCAUUAUUUGUGCGAAAUGAGAAUAUUAUUUUGACUAUAUUUGAACUUGAUACGUCGAUUUGAACUAAAUAAAAGCAAAGUAAUAAUAAUAAUAAUAAAACUAGAAGCACGAAAAGAUUUGAAUUUUUAUUCUGAUAUCAUGUUAACUAAAUAAUAAUUAUCCUAAAUUGUAAGAUUUGAAUUUUUUUAGAUGCUUAGCUGUUGGAAACGAUGGUGGGUGGUUAUUACAAAUAGUAAUAAUGUGAGGAGCUCUACUGUAAAGUGGCUGUACGGAUAAUUUGUGUUCUCAGAAACUAUAUAAAAAAAAAAAAUAUAUAUAUAUAUAUAUAUAUAUAUAUAUAUAUAAAUAUAUAUAUUUGUGUGUGUAUGUAGAGCUACUAUGCUAUAGCGGCUCCCUUAGGAUUGAGUGGUCCAACUAGGGUUGAGUUAUUUCUAUUGGUUAAUAAUAUUAAUCCAAUGGUUAGAAAUGAUCAAUUGGGUUGAUCUAAGGGCUAAAAAAUUAAAAACGUUAAUUACUUUAUGCUUUCUAUAGUAUACUAGCUCUACUCUCUCUCUCUCUCUCUCACUCUCUCUAUAUAACUCUCUCUCUCUCUCAAUCUCUCUAUAUAACUCUCUCUCUCUAUAUAUAUAUAGAGAGAGAGUGAGAGAGAGAGAGAGAGAGAGAGUUGAGCUAGAAUACUAUCAGUAGUAAACGAGUCGUUUUACUACCGAUUUGUUUUCGAUGAUAGAACUUCCAAAUUGACGAUCGGCUCUAUUAAACAUGAUCUAUACCACUUGAAGUGUUUAGAAAUCAAAUUUCAAAUCUUUUCGACAUCAUUUGCCUAAUGAUCAAAGGGUUUCAAAAUUUGUAAUUUUAAUGGUCGAUAAGAGGCGUUUUCUCGUUUAACGGCGUAAAGAUAUCCAAAUCAAUUGAAUUUUUGUUAGAAAAUUCUUUAAACUAUUUAAAACAAGAUCUAUACUCUUGAUCUUGAUUACAAGACUCCUAUCAUCAUUUUUUAAAGAGUAUUUAUUUUCUGCAAUUCAUUUUUCUGUUCACUUGAUGUAUAAAAGAACAAUAUCAAAAGUGCGUGAAAUUUAAUUUCUAGGUAGUUUAAAUGGUUUAGAUCAUAUUUAACGGAGCCGAUCGUCAAUUUGAAAGCUUUAUUAUCGAAAACAAAUCGGUAGUAAAAUGACUUGUUUACUACCGGUAGUAUUCUAGCUCAACUAUAUAUAUAUAUAUAUAUAUAUAUAUAUAUAUAGAGCUAGGCUCCUAUACUUUCGAAAGUACAGGGGCUCCCGUACUCGUAAGUUGUUUUCGAUGAUGGGACGUCCGAUUCAGCGAUCGGUUUCGUUAGACAUGAUCUACGCUAUUUGAACUAUCUAGAAACCAAAUUUCAUAAUUUUUUAACUUCGUUUGCUUAGUGAAAUGGUAGCCUUAAAAUGAACGGCUGAAAAUAAAAAUCAUAUAAAAAAUAAUGAUAAAGUACUUAAAUUUCAAAUCGGAAGUAUUGAUCUUGCUAUUGAUGUUAAGUAGAAUUUUCUAUUAAAUUUCUAUGUAAUUUCGAUACUUCUACACCGUUGAACUUAAAAACGUGCCGCAUCGGCCGUUAGAAUAGUCAUUUUUGGGACCUUUUGAUCGCUUAGUAAAUGAUGUCAAAAAAUUAUAAAAUUUAGUUUCUACAUAGUUCCAAUAAGAUAGAUUAUACCUAGCGGAGCCGAUCGUCGAAUCGGAUGUCCUAUCAUCAAAAACAACUUACAAGCACGAAAGGGCUGAUACUUCCGAAAGUAUAGUAGACGGACUAUAUAUAUAUAUAUAUAUAGAGGCUAGAAUAUUAUUAAUUCNAGCGAAUUCGGUGGUCUCCUCCUGCUCAGAAAAACACCAAACUAAAAUCCAAGCUCUUAUUUAUUAUUAUCUGUCCCGUGCUGCAGUUAAAAUAUAAUAAAAUUCAACCCAAUUUGGAGACUUUUGUGACUGCUAUUAAACAGUGAUUGUGACCUCUUUCCUCGAAAAAACGCAUCUCUCUCUUUCUCUCUCUAAAACCUCUUUUUUAAGAGAGAGAGAGAGAGAGAGAGAGAGGAGAGAUGUAAGAGAUGAUGUAAGGGGGAGAGAGACUAAGAAAGAAGAACCUAAAAUCAUUUGAAUAAUUCAAAGGAACACAACUUGCAUGGAGACCCCCCUCAAUCAUAGGCUUUUUUUAAAAAAAAUUAAUAACAUCUCCAUCAAAUUGCUCCCAACUUUAUUAUUUUAAGAAUUAACAAAGUGUUAAUUUAAUUUAUAGAUAAUUUUAGUCAAUUUAAUUAGAAGUUUUUACUUAAUUCACUGAGGCGCGGUUCCAUCCAACCCAGUAAGUUUACUCCUCCUUCCUUACUCAUAUUUAGCAAAAUUCUCAUUUAAUUAAACUUAAAGAGUGUCUUAAUAAAUAAAAUAGAAGCCGAGGGGCCACGCUUUGAAAGAUCUAUAGUUGAGGGGGCUCUCUGUAAAUUUUCUACAAACUAGCGUUCCAUUUCAACUGGUCAACUGAUAAAACUCUCCCCUUUUUUUUUUUUAAUAAAAAACAAACAAACAAACAAACAAAUAACUAUCUUUUUUUUAUUCAAAUUCCAUCAAAACGCAUAUCAUAUUUGAAUCGAACACACGCUUUUGAGGGGGCUCGGAGUCGCCAUUCUCCUUUUUACUGAAUCCCUGUUUUCGUAUUUCCAAGCGUACGCGACGUGCGGAAAGGUCGCCCUUUUGUCCUUGCGUUGGACCCCACACCUCUCGGAUUUGAAGGCUAUAUAAAUGCGAAGUGGUCUCCCUGAUGGUUGUGCAAGCGUUAAAAGGGAAUUUUUAGUGUUCAAAGCGAGAAAAAAGGGGGAUUUUUUAAGGCAUUUUGAAGCAUUUCUCUGUGUUUUACCAGUUGGGUUUCUUCCUCUGCUCGAUUUGGUGAGCCUCUUCUCCUUCACCCUUCGUAAUCUCACUCUCUUCGGGUUUUGUUACUUUGGUUUGUUUCUCAUUGGAUUUGUUGUUUCUGGUGUCAUUAGUAUGUAGUAGAUGCGUUUACUGAUGUAAAGUUUGCAUCUUGGAUGUGUUUUGGGUGGUUUCCCUUUCUUUUCCCCCUUUUUCCCCUCCUUUUUGGGGAUUAAGACUUGUUUUAUAUGGUGCUCAACUGCUGCAUCUUUCAAAGUUUUCUCAAACAAAUUGAAGCCCAAAGAUGCAGAUUUUCAAUUUGGGCAAAAACUGAAAGGGUCUCUUUUACUUCCACUUCCAUAUGUAUCUAAUAAGACUACUUAUGUUUAAGAAGUACUGUAAAUUGGAAGUUUGAGGGUGUCUAGGAAGCGACUUUGAUUGGAAAAUUAAAACUUGUUUGUGUUUUAGGAUCCUUCUUGUUCAGAAUACAUUACCAACUUCCAUACAGAGCUUGGUUAUUAAGUUCUAUUUGCUAAUUUUUCAUCAAAGCUUUUGCACUGUAAUUGCUUUAAUUGUAUGAAUUUAGAUUCUAAAGUAUUUAAAAAAUUAGGAGGUAUGAGGUCUAGUUCUCUGCGGCUUUUCUCUUUUUCCUCACAACCUAUUCCUUGUCGAUGGAUCGAAAAGCUCAAUUUUUUUUUUGUUUUUUCUAUCUGUUUUGAUUUCAGUUUGCAGGCUAAUUCUUCUUCACUUUAUGGGUUUGUCCCUCUCCUUAUUUUCAUGGGCUUGGGUUGAAGUCAUGAGAAACAAAAUCUUUGGCUUAACAGAAGUUGAAGCUGUUCUUCGGAGAUCUCUCAGCUCCCGCGAGAAAGAUGUAAAGUUGACCUUAAGAUCACUUAGCUUCAAGAAGAGCGAUUUAUCGAAUAUGCUUAGCCCUAAUAGGAAGGACCUCGGUACAAAAUCGGGAUCGCCGAGUUCCAAAAUAAGCGAUCCAUCGCAAAACAUGGCGGACGGUGGGUCUGAAAAUCCAGUCAUGGUUAGGUCAUUGAGCUUCAAAAGCUGGGAGUCGGAAGCGGCCCCUAACCCUGAAACGAGAAGUUCAUCCAUUAAUCAAGCCACAGAGAUUCAGCCGCUUCGUUUAAAAAGUUCGGAAAAUAUCGCAAUAGUGCCCGAGGUUGUGUUCUCUUCUCCGAGGCCUCGGUGUGAGCUCGAUGCAGCAGCCACAAAGCUUCAGAAAGUCUAUAAGAGUUAUCGGACCAGAAGAAAUUUGGCAGAUUGCGCGGUUGUGGUGGAGGAACUCUGGUUUGUCUCUCAAUCUUUCAUCAUCACAAUCCUCUAUUUUCUCUCUCUUUUUUUUUUAAUGUGCUUCAUUUGACUAAUUGAAUUUCUUUUCCGUUACUGCUUUAGGUGGAAGGCUCUUGAUUUUGCUUCUCUUAAGCAUAGUUCCGUAUCGUUCUUUAACGUCGAGAAACCAGAGUCGGCAGUUUCUCGAUGGGCUCGCGCCCGAACAAGGGUGGCCAAGGUACACCACUUACACCUCUCUCUUUUUCAAUUUUUGAUGUUUUAAUGUAGUUUUACUCUUUACCGCCACUAAAUUCGAUCUCUGAGUCAGUAAUUAAUAUUUAUUUCCAUCUUUUACAGGUCGGUAAAGGUUUGUCUAAAGAUGAGAAAGCUCAAAAACUAGCACUUCAACACUGGCUUGAAGCUGUAAGUUUGUGUCUCCCUCGAAAGUUUUGUUACGUCCCACAAGCAAAAUUAUUAGAAAAACAAUGGUUAUAUUAAGUUUAUCAGAAGAUUCAAUAAUGAUAUUUAUCGUCUUUUCUCUUUGUUGCUAUAUGCAGAUUGAUCCGCGACAUCGCUACGGGCACAAUUUACAUUUGUAUUACGAUAUCUGGUUUGAUAGCGAGAGCACCCAGCCGUUCUUCUUCUGGUAAAUAAUAAGACCCGAAAGUCGUGUCUCUCUCCUUAUCUUUUGAAAAAUGUUAGGCAUUGAAUCUUAACUUCUUGUACAAAUUUUGUUCUUUCCUCUUUAAGGUUGGAUGUCGGAGACGGUAGAGAGAUAAAUCUCGAGAAGUGCCCGAGAAGCAAGCUACAACAGCAAUUGAUCAAAUAUCUUGGACCGGUAAGCAUAUUAUUUUUGAAUUCACCGCCUUGUUGAUUUACUUAAUAAUUUUGCAGUAUCUAAGGAAAAAAGAAUUCAAGUAAUUCUAACAAAAUAUGAGUAGUACUUAACUGAUUUUUUUUUUUUUUUUCCUUCUUACUUUCAAUGUAGAAUGAGAGGGAGGCGUACGAAGUAAUUGUGGAAGACGGUAAACUCGUCUAUAAACAAACAGAAGUUCCUGUGAACACUACCGAAGGUUCUAAGUGGAUAUUUGUUUUGAGCACAACGCGGACGUUAUAUGUGGGGCAGGUGAAUAUCUAAAACCAACUUUUUCCCUUAAUUUGUGGAACAUUCAUUGUGUUUAGAAUGAGUUAAACUUAUUUUUUUGUUGUGCUUUAUCUAUUGGGCAGAAAAUGAAAGGCACAUUUCAGCACUCUAGCUUUUUGGCCGGAGGCGCAACAACAGCAGCUGGGAGAUUGGUGGCUAAAGAAGGGAUUCUCAAGGUACAUAUUUUUGCAACACUUGAGAUAACACGAAUUUUCUAGGGUUUACGAUGGGAAACUGUAUCGCGACUUAUUGUUUUCUUCUGAUCCGUAAGUAACAAAGAGUAGCACUUCUCUAACGCCGCUCUGUUGCUUAACUUUCCAGGCUAUAUGGCCAUACAGCGGUCAUUACCUCCCAACUGAAGAGAAUUUCAAGGAGUUCAUUAGCUUCCUUUCGGAUAACAAUGUGGACCUCAGCAAUGUUAAGGUAAAUUUACUGUUACAUACACUUUUUUUUGGGGGGGAAGGGUUACAAAUUAUAGGAAGCUUAAUGUUACUUCAAAUCUGGCCUGCAAGGCCGAUAUAUCUCGAGCAACAGGAAAAUCAUUAAUCAUUAGUCUAAAUGAUUACCUGUCUACGUACUUCUAAUUGUCGAUUAAUUAGGUAGUAGAACCUCCGUAACCGAAGUUUUCGACAUUUUUUUCAGCGGUGCUCCGUCGACGAUGAUGAAUUCCCGUCAUUCAAGAAGAACGACAGUGAGCCAUCAUUAACUGAAGGAGAAAAGAUAGUCGAUGUGGUGAAGGCUGCAGCCAAAAUCGAGAUCGCAGAAACGAAAGCACCUGCAGAAGACUCCAUCAUUGAUCAAGACAGUGUCGAAUCUACAGAAACAGCACCGGAACCCACAAGACGAUUGUCAUUCAAGUGGUCUACCGGGAUCGGCGCACGUAUCGGGUGCGUGCGCGAUUACCCGCCGGACCUCCAAAGCAAAGCCCUCGAACAAGUCAAUUUGUCGCCGAGGGUCGUCCCUUCGCCAAAUGGGAACAAAUUUCCAAUCCCAUCUCCGCGCCCUAGCCCGAAAGUUAGACUGUCGCCGAGGCUGCAGUACAUGGGCAUUCCAAGUCCAACUGUCUCUCUCACUCUUCCCAUGAGCAAAAGGAAGUGAGUUUGAGGGCAUUCCGGGCAUUUCUCUUGCCAAUUUUGACUAAUUAUUCUCCUAAUAGUUGAUGAAGAUGGGGUUGGGGGGGAGCAAGGAAAAUAACUUGCUACCUACUGUGCUGGGGUUUUUUUGGUUUUGAUUCAUUCUUGUUUCUUGAUUUCAUUAGUUGGUACGUUGAAUCAUUCUUUUCUUAGUUUGUUCUUUGCUUCGUGUACUUGUACCACCCUUUUCUCUUAUUCUUUGUCAUGUAGAGAAAUUUUAUUAAUGAAAGAAACGGAGCUAAGUUGCUUCUUUUUGUUCUGAUAUCAUCUUUUGAUUUAUACAUGGGAUGGAUUUGCAUCCAACCACCUACUAUUUCGCAUAUUCGACUCUAAUUGGUGUUGUUUUGAGAACACUACACUUAACGUUGGCGAAUAUUAAUCACCGGAUGUAGAACACUUGAAAGCAAAAAAAUUGAAUAGUAUUGUACAAUGAUGGUGUGUCGUUGGUUGCUUGUUUAUUUGUUUAACGAGCUAGUUUUGACUUAAAAGAGGUGAUCUAAUUACACGCGUAACAUACUAAAUUUGACCGCGGACAUUGACCGAGAAAGACCAACUCCACAUUUGACGGUAAACAGACCUUUGUUAGUUACAAGACUUUUUGUAGACUUUAGCACCUUUUUAACCCCAAGUUAAACGGAUAAAUUUUUGUAUUCUUCGGCUUAGGAACACGGAGGCCUCUCGAUAGCACACAAGAAUGCAAAUUUAUGAUGGCUUACAAGUUACAAAUAAAUUGAUACUCUCCCAGUCUGAAUCACUAAAUUUUGCUGCGAGUACAAAAGGGACAGUUCCAGAAAACUGACCAUAUCGCAAGAAGAAACUGGAAAAAAGCAAACACGUUUUGAUGUCUGGGAGAAAUAAUCUUUGCUCAAUCCUGAUCCUCUUGUCACUGUGGUUGCUCGAUUCAAGGAUACAAGAAUAAAAGCUUCGCCAGAAAAGACAAAAUUUAAAAUUUUACAACAACGGCUCGGCUGAUGUCCUGACAAUGUUUGUAAAUUAAGCACUGGAGGAAGCUGCUUGCAAGUCGUGCACCACCUCCGACGGUUGAAAGUAGUCCUGCAGAGCCAACAUCUUAAUCGAACUCUGCUUCAAGCUCCUAAUGGCUUCCACAGUAGCUAAUGCUCCCGCGACCGUUGUUAUAAUAGGUAUUUUAUAAGCCAAAGCCAUUCUCCGAAGUUGCCGUCCAUCUAUUGAAUCCAAAGCAUCACCCGAACUUGUUAUCACCAUCACUUGUAUCUCACCAUUCGCUAACAUAUCACCAGCAUGGGGACGCCCCUCGUGCAUUUUAAGUACGGGCUGAACCUCUAUACCCUCCAGCUGAAGCACUCUUGCAGUUCCAGAUGUCGCGACUAUGUCGAACCCGAGUUCUCGAAAGCCACGAGCAAUGGAAGCGAGAUGCGGUUUGGUCAAGUCAUUGAGGCUUAAAAAGACAGUACCACUAACAGGGAGCUUCUGCCCGGCGGCGAUCUGUGCUUUUGCAAACGCCAGAGGGAACUCAAAGUCAAUACCCAUGACUUCCCCGGUGCUCCUCAUCUCCGGCCCGAGGAGCACAUCGCAUCCUUGGAACUUCUCGAACGGAAGUACGGCCUCUUUUACUGAGACAUGCUUGGGAACAAUCUCCCUCGUGAACCCUAGUUCUUGCAAGCUCUUUCCCGACAUGACAAGCGAGGCAUAUUUUGCUAAUGGGUGGCCGAUCGCUUUCGAAACAAAAGGGACGGUGCGCGAUGCACGUGGAUUAGCCUCAAGAAGGUAUACGUCGCCAGAAGCCAUGAUUGCAUAUUGGCAGUUCAUAAGCCCACAUACAUUUAGUCUUUCGGCUAGCUUUGUAGUCCAUGAUCGGAUUAUAUCCAAGCAUUUCGGUGAUACAGUUUUCGUGGGGAGAGAACAAGCUGAGUCACCAGAAUGUACGCCGGCCUGCUCAAUGUGCUCCAUAAUUCCACCAAUCACCACCAUCCCAUUGGAGUCUGCCAAUGCAUCAACAUCAAUUUCAAUCGCAUCGCUGAGAUACUUGUCAACCAAAACUGGACGGUCAGGAUCGACUUCGACAGCAGUUUCAAGAUACGUUAUGAGUUUAUCAUCACUGUAAACAAUUUCCAUAGCGCGUCCACCUAAUACAUAAGAAGGGCGCACCACAACCGGGUAUCCAAUUUCGGAAGCAAUUUGUAUGGCAUCUGAUUCACUUUUCGCUAUGCCUCCCUUAGGUUGCUCAAUUUUGAGUUCAUUCAGAAUUGCAUUAAAUCUUUCUCUGUCUUCAGCAGCAUCGAUAGAAUCAGGUGAUGUUCCCCAUACUUGAACGAGGCCUAUUCCAUUUGCAGGGACCAAUUUUUGUUCUUCUAAAUAGCGUUGUAAAGGAAGAGCGAGCUUUAGAGGAGUUUGUCCACCAAAUUGCACAAUUAUGCCAUUAGGACGCUCCAAAUCAAUGACGUUUAGUACAUCCUCAACUGUUAAAGGUUCAAAAUAUAAACGGUCGCUGGUAUCAUAAUCAGUGGAAACCGUCUCUGGAUUCGAGUUCAUCAUGAUUGCCUCGUACCCAUCCUAACAACAAAUGUAAAACAGUAAGAAGCCAGCCAGCCAAUAUUUAUAAGCGUGAUCACACACACACACACACACACACACACACACACACACACACACAUAAAUAUAGUGAGGGUUAAGCUAGAAUGCUAUUAGUAGCAAAUGAACUACGUUGCCACCCAUUUGUUUUCAGUGAUAGAGCCUUCAAAUCAAACGAUCGGCACCGUUGAACAUGUGAUCUAUAUCACUAAACCAUAAAACAUGCAUUCGUUAGUUGUUACAUUACCUAGAUAGCAGAUUUUACUAUACGUCGCUGAACUUUAACAAUCUUAAGUUUGGUACCCAAUUUUAGUGUACGUUAGAUUAAAGUACCUUUAUCAGAACUUAACAGCAAUUUUUUCUUUGACGGCAUAUUCUGUGACCUAACAGUAUAUGCUGUCUUUGAUGGUAACUGUUAAGUUACACCAGAACUUGAUGGAAUUCCCUGAAACCAUAAGUAAUGAAAAGUCUGGCAAUAAAAUCAAAAUUCUUGAAGUCCUGUUUUCUCUUUCAAAAUCUUUAGUUAAGACAAGAUCUGUAUGUUUUUACCAAUGAAAAGAGAAACAGUGAAGGCCGCACAAAAUGACAACUGCCUAAUCUUAAUAGCAAACAAACCUGUCGAAGAGCAAAUGAAGCAUGGCAACAGCAGUAGUCAAACUCAAUUCCCUGGCCAAUUCUGUUAGGUCCACCACCCAAUAUCAACACCUUCUUCUUUUCGGUCGGAGCUGAUUCACAUUCAAACUCAUAAGAAGAGUACAUGUAGGGAGUGUUGGCCUCAAAUUCCGCAGCACAUGUAUCAACCCGCUUGUAUGCUGGAAUCACACCUAGUUCCAACCGCCUCGACCUAACCUGAUUCUCACUAGAACGAGUUGCAUAACCAAUCUGUUUAUCACUGAAACCCCUCCUCUUCACCUCAUAAAAAUCACCUUUUGAUAGCUCGUUUAAACUCCUUGUCAACAGAAACUGUUCUACAUCUACAAGCUCUUUGAGCUCCGUGAGAAACCAUUUGUCAAUAUAGCUGAGCUCGUGAAUCUCCUCUACCUUCAUUCCCUUCUUAAGUGCUGCGUAAAUUGCAUGAAUUCGAUCGGGAUUUGGAACGCGGAGGCUGUACUUCAAUUGUUCCCAGUCCCAGUCGAGUUCCUUGACCGGCCCACAGCCCCAGCCUGCAUAGCCCAACUCUAAAGAUCGAACAGCUUUUUGAAAGGACUCCUGGAAAGUUCGGCCCAAAGCCAUUGCUUCACCGACUGAUUUCAUCUGGGUAGUUAAUAUUGGCUGGGAGCCAGGAAAUUUCUCAAAAGCAAAGCGUGGAAUCUGCAUCAGAGAUAUAAAGAGCAUUAAAAAAUUGAUACAGAAAACAAAAAAAAAUGUGGCAAAUAAAGAUGUACGAACAGGCUUAUACAGGCAGUUCAAUCAAGGUACAAUGGUUCAAACUACAAUUAGAUACUCAAAUACAUUAGUAGCAUGACUGUGCCAAAAUCCAAAGAAGAAGAGAUCGGUAGAACUGAACAUCACAAGUAUCUAAUCUAAAACGAACUCUGCCACAAGCCUAAAAAAGGUGAAGUCCAGAAUAUUGCCGCAUGAAUAUACCAUGUAUAUCUAAGAACAUAGAAUAUGGAAAGAAGUGAUUGCAGGACAAUAAAAAAUUUCUUCCCCAAACCCUGAAUAAGUUCUAGAAAAGCCCUGCUUUUCCUAUAAAUUUUGAAAACUCAGCCGUAGGCUCCGCACUUGGAAGUAUAAUAAGCAAGCCUACAGGAACCAAUCAUAUUGCAUGAGAUGCCAAUGAUACCAACCUUACGUCUUCCAUUUCCAGCACUUUUGAAACAAACAGAAAAUAAUAAAGGCACACUCGACAGCACUAAGUAUUCAAACAAAAGUGUUCCUAUAAAAGAAAUCAGACACCUAUCUAUAGGAAGAGGAGAUGCUAAGAACUAAGAAAGGGGACAAAAAGAUCAUACCUUGGUGACCACAUAGUCAAUGGACGGCUCGAAACUCGCAGGAGUCUUCUUCGUAAUAUCGUUCGGAAUCUGAUCGAGUGUGUAUCCCACCGAAAGCUUUGCCGCCAUUUUGGCGAUGGGGAAUCCCGUAGCCUUCGAUGCGAGAGCCGACGAUCUCGAAACCCGGGGGUUCAUCUCUAUGACCAUCACCUCCCCGUCGGCCGGAUUCACCGCAAACUGCACGUUGGACCCGCCGCACUCCACUCCGAUCUCCCUUAUGAUAGCCACAGAGUAAUCCCUGAGCCUCUGGUACUCCUUGUCGGUGAGGGUCUGCGCGGGAGCGACGGUGAUUGAAUCCCCUGUGUGGACGCCCAUGGCGUCGAUGUUCUCGAUGGAGCAGAUGAUGACGACGUUGUCGGCGAGGUCGCGCAUGACCUCGAGCUCGUACUCCUUCCACCCGAGGAGGGACUUUUCGACGAGCACCUGGGUGGUGAGGCUGGCGGCGAGGCCGGCGCGGCAGAUGGCCUCGAACUCGUCGCGGUUGUAGGCGAUGCCGCCGCCAGUGCCGCCGAGGGUGAACGCGGGGCGGACGAUGAGUGGGAAGCCGCCGAUGCCGUCGGCGAUGGCGAAGCACUCCUCGAGGGUGGUGCCGAUGCCGGAGGGCGGGGUCUUGAGGCCGAUGCGGUCCAUGGCGCGCUUGAAGAGGUCGCGGUCCUCGGCGGCGCGGAUGGCCGGGAGGGAGGCGCCGAUGAGGCGGACGCCGUGGCGGUCGAGGGCGCCGGAGUCGGAGAGGGCGACGGCGAGGUUGAGGGCGGUUUGGCCGCCCAUGGUGGGGAGGAGGGCGUCGGGGCGCUCCUCGGCGAUGACCUGCUCGACGAGGUCGGGGGUCAUGGGGCCGACGUAGGUACGGUGGGCGAGGUCGGGGUCGGUCAUGAUGGUGGCGGGGUUGGAGUUGACAAGCACCACCUCGUAGCCCUCGUCGCGGAGGGCCUUGCACGCCUGGGUCCCCGAGUAGUCGAACUCGCACGCUUGCCCGAUCACGAUCGGUCCCGCGCCCAGGAUCAUGAUCUUCCUAAUGUCCGUGCGCUUCCCCCCGCGCCGCGGAGCCUCCGUACCAUCCUCGGAAGCCGACGAAGCCCUAACCCUAGAUUGGGAGGAGGAGGCGCGGAGGUGGGGGAGGCGGGAGCGGAGCUUGGCGGCGGCGGAGGGGCGGAGGAGGGCUACAGAGCAAGGGGAGGGCGAGAGGAGGCGAUGUUGCUUGAGCGGGAGGAGGGAGGAGGGAGGUGACCGGAUCCGAGUGUGGUUGGGGAGCGCCAUGGAUGGAGAAGGGAAGCGUAGUCGUCGUCUUCUUCCUCUUCCUCGCUCGUGCCUCGUCUCCGGGUGCGCUUUUACUGCUCAGAGAGGAGAGGAGAGGUGUAGGGUUUUUUUGGGACUUAAAAAAGGAUGCAGAGAGUGGACGGUUCAGAUUUGCGGUGCGAUUCUGAUGUGGCCUUUUUGAUCCUCGAUUAUGCCGAACCCUGUCCCCCGUAGUCCUACUGAUCCAAUUGCCUGGGGUGCGUGCAAUGCAGAACAGCUAAUCCAACCGUCCAUCUUUAAUGUCAUAAUGAUUGCUAUAAUAACAUAUGGCGUUUCAACGGUUGAGAUCCACUUCUCUUUUUAAUAAUUGGUUCGAUCAAUCAUUAUCUACUUUGGCACGUCAAGCAUCCAAAAUUAAAUUGGAAAGGAUAAUUGAAAGGGAUUAAAUAAGAUUACGAUUUGAUAAAUAUAAUUCAAUUCGGAUUGGAUUAUAAAUUUUUUUAUUAGAAUAAAUUACUUAAAUUUUAAAGUGAAUUUAUUUGUCCAAUUUUUGUCUCUUAAAAGUUGCUUUAUAUAUAUAUAUAUAUAUAUAUAUAUAUAUAUAUAUAUAUAUAUAAUUAAACUUGUAUGUUGAAGUAUAAAUUUAAAUUCACAAUUGAAUUCAACCUUAAACUAGAAAAGUAAAAUUGCAAAUUCAAAUUGUGCUUUUUAAAAUAAAUUUCUUAAAAAUUUGACUUAGAUUUUGAACAAGUUUCACCAUGGGAUUGGGUGAUGGGUGAUGGAUCUGCUAAGUCUAAUCCCAGGGUAUUAGCUAAUCCCGUGGUGAGGGGAUUGUUCCCCUAGACCGGACUAAUUUUAAUCCAAUCCCGUACAAAUUCGAUGCUCCAAAAACGCUCUUAGUAGUAGCUUAGCAAAUGCUGAGCUCAUUCAAUUCUACGAGAUUGAAGGUUUGUUUUACUAAAUGAACCGAUCGUAAUCUAUCAAAUCAAAUAAUAUAAUUUAUUUGAAGAGAAAGAUAGUAUAUUAUUCGUUUUAUUUAUAUUUUAAAAAUAUAAAUUCAGCUAAAAAUGUAAAGUAAUUAGAUUUCGAAUUUAAAAUCUAUCACUCUUUUGUCACUAGCCAGAAGAACCCACUGUGCUCCUGGACUUUUCAAAAGCUUGUUGAACUGGCCAACUCGAGCUCCGCAAUUUUUGCACGCCUAUUUUGGUGUGGUGGUGGGGGGAGUAAGAUUAUAAGUAGAUAAAAAAAAUGAAAUCACAACCUCAAAACAGUAAAACCGAAUUUACCUCCUCAGUUCCUUCCCCCUCUGUUUCGGAUCCUCCUCCUCCUCCUCGUAGCCUGCAAAAACAGAGGAUUUAGAUUUAGAACACACGUUGUUGAUCAAACGAGUUUAAGGAAGAGAGAGAGAGCGAGAGAGAGAGAGCGAGAGAGAGAGAGAGAGAGGAUACAGUGAGAGUUUGAGGGAAAGGAAAAUCCCAUGGGAAGAAGCUACCCUGGUUCCAACGCGAAGCUCCUCCUCCGCAUCGACUCAUCAAUGGCUCCUCCGUUGCUCCCCUUCGCAUGGAUCGUCGGCAUCCUCCUCGCCCUCUGCGUCACCCACCAUCGGAAACCCUCGAAGCCGCACCCCCAAUCCCCGCCGCCCGAUCCAUCGCGAUCGAGCACCUCCACGGAGAGGCGAUCCCCGCCGCCGGGUCCCCCGGAGCGCGACGCUGCCCAACCCCGCGAGUCCCCGGUGGGGGCGCGGAGGAGUUGGGGGAGGAGGGGGCUGUCGCUGAGCGCGAGCGCGAGCGCGAGGGCGAGGGUGCCGGAGAGGAUCGCGGCGAGGAUGAGGGCGCGGAGGAGGGAGAGGAAGGAGAGGUCGGCGGAGGAGUCGAUAUGGAUGAAGACGAUAAUACUCGGGGAGAGGUGUAGGGUCCCCAGCGACGACGAGAGCGAGAACGAGAACGGUGGUGGAGGCUUAAACGGGCGGAGGCCGAGGCAUUAUCGGCCCCGGACGCCCCGCUCGGUGCCGGUUUCGCGCACCAGCUCCUUUUUGGACUUGGACGAUGCCGCUUCUUCACCUGCAUUCGGCGCUGCACAUUAGAACCGUUGCCGACUUCAACUGUAGCAGUACCUGAUUUCGGCAUCUCCAAGCAGAAAUUUUUUUAUUUUAUUUUAUUUUAUUUUUUAAUGUUUUCCGGUCCCUGUGUAGAGUUUUACCCUUCUAUUUGUUUUGAGGCACUUUCCAGGACUUAUAUUUUUUUUUAGUACAACCAUAUAAUCAUUUGUUUAAAAAAAUAUAUAGUUUUAAAGUAUACGAGCUCCCCUUUUCGAAGUUGAAGCAAACUAAUUCAGAUUUUUCACGAUUGUAACUGUCGAAAACAAAUCACAUUAACAAACUAGAAAGCAAGCUCGCUUAGACACAAAUCUCACGUAUGUGAAAACACAUAAUCUCGCAUGUAAGAGAGAGAGGGGAAGAUUUGGCGCAACCGCCAGAGUGCCAUGGCACGAAAUAGAAUGAACAUACCAAGUUCCGACGAGGCAGCUUCAGUUUAAAACUUUUUUGCUUUUAUGCAGGUAAAAAGAUAUUAGGACGAAUCUCGAGUAAACAUGAUAAUACAGCAGAAUAUUCACAAGAAGAUCCACAUCAAUCGAUCAUGCACGCAUCGAUUGCACCGUUACGAAGUAACAGCCAUCAGAAUUUAAUCGCACAAACUAACAGAUGCAAAACCCACACUGGUUUCAAACAGUCGGUUGCUUCUUAAAGAUAAACAUCCCGAUACAAAUGUGGACUGGUAAACAAUAUCCAACAAAAUAUAAUCAAAUUACAGGGCCUUCUUUCACGAGGAUAAGGAGCCAUAACGACUAACCAGUACAACAAUGUACAAAAGGCCUUACCACAGCGACGGCAAAGUUGCCAAUUUCCAGCUCCUCAGACCCAGAUUCCCCCACUUAUUGUCUCGAGGCGAACUCAAGAACUCAGCACCCUCCUAAUUACAGCUUUUAAACAUUGCGAUGAUCUAACAUAUAAUUGCAACCGAUUGUUCGGUAACGCUAGUAGUGAAUCCGAUCGUCCUUGUCAAAACUAAGGCUUUCGAUGCCCUUGAGAGUUGACUCAUAGUUCUUGGUGUUAGAAGAUGGGUGCCUGCCAGAAGAAGAGUGCUUGGGUUCAGCUGAGCCGAUUGGAGAGCUUCUCUGAGGAGCCGAAGUCGACAGCUUAGCAAACUCUGUGUCUCGGCUGCUAGAAACAGCAGCUCGCCUUGAAGAGCCGCCUGAGCGCCCCAAAAAAGUCGAACUGGACAACUACACGGUAUUAAGCUUUGAGGGUCAGGAAUUAAACAUGGCAAUCACUUAGCUGAGGGAUGCAAUUACGGAUAAAUCACUGCAUAUAUCUGGAAUAUUUGACUUCACUUGGAUAACAAAUUUAUCUGAAAUAUGCAGAGACAGCUUUCUAUUUUCGAGCUUCAAAAUAUCUCAAUGUUUACGUCUCGCUUCAGCCUCACAAUUGCAUGUUUCUCUACGUUCAUGUAUAUGGUUCUAGCAGAACACUUCCAUGAUCUAACCGCAGAUUACAACCACAGAAAGCAACAAAGAGAUACUGAAAUUUAAACGAAAGUCUCACCACAGCAUCUUUAGAAGCAGGUUGUUCAUUUGCCACAGGAGAUUUCUGCUUUGACAAACUGCCUGCAGUUACAGCUGGAAGUGGGGCCCGUCGUCGGGAAGGAUCCAUUGCUCCCGACCAACCGCCUUUCCUUCCUUCCUCACCGCCUAAAAAGUUUACUAAAAACUUCAAACCAGCCCUUAAAAGAAUCUAUUCAAGUUGACAUACAAAACAGGACAGGAAUAUCUUCAAACAAAAGACCAUAAACUCCUAACAUAUAUUUAAACAAUAUCGAUAAGAAUAAGAAACUUAUGCACUUAAUAACAAACAAAUGAAGAACCCAUACUACCGUGUUUGAAAAUCAUGAUGUAGCGAGUUAGUCAUAAUUUAUCACAAAAAAAAAAAAAACAAUGGUACCUGAUUGUCUAUCAUCCACAGCUGGGGCCAAGCCAGAGCUUUGUCCAGCACCUUGACCCUAAAUAGCAGGUGAUAAGCAAUUUAUUCAAGUAAAAAGGAAAAUAACAAAAAUUGACUGUGCAUGUUACUAACAGGAGUUCGUGGAGGAGCACUAGAAAUCUGUGAUUGCUGAUACUUCAAAAUAGUCCAAUCAAACACAUAAUCAAACUGGAAUCCUAUAAAAUAAAUGAAAAGCAAUGUUACCCUUAUUACCAUCAAUUUUCUGCAUGGACUGAUGAUCAUAGAAAUCAGAUCAGCUGAAGAAAUCAACAUUCUUAAAUAUUUUCAAGUGAAAUUACGGAAAGCAAACUAACCCUCGCGGAUAAAAAGGUCUCGAAACAAUCUCUUGAGGUAUGAAUAAUCUGGCUUAUCAUCAAAACGCAGAGAACGGCAAUAAUGGAAGUAAGACGCAAAUUCACUAGGGUAACCACGACACAAAGCCUGAAAGUUAAGAGAAAAUGAAAAAAACAAUCGUUACUAGCCAGAAGAGGAAAAUAACAUAAGAGCUUCCAACUCCACAAGUAGAUAAGCUUUCCACCUCAAUUGAUGUGGCUACUUUUCUUUCACUGAUUUUUUCAUACUUCUGUUUCUUGGUCCCAGCUUUUAGACCCUGCCAUGGAAGGCUGAUAAAAAAUGGAAGCAUAGUUUAGCGUUCACAUUUCUAAUAUAUAAAUUGAUAGGAAAGUUGAGUAAUACAACUGACCUUCCCCUUAAGAAAUACAUUAGUACAUAUCCAAGAGAUUCCAAAUCAUCCCUCCUGCUUUGUUCUUAGCACCCAAACAAACCAAGUCAAAAAUAGAUAAAAGAGAGAAUAAAAGACAGAUAAGCUAAAAAACAUCAAUCAUUAGCCAAAUAAUAAUCCUGAUUAGAAGUAAAGACAUUUUAGACUGGCAGUUUUUAAGCCUGAAAAGGUCGACAAUAAUGGAGAAAAGAUAUUCGCUUUACCAAUGCCAAGAUGAGUGUUCACACUAGCAUAUCUUGCUGUGCCAGUCAAAUUUUUGUUCUCUCUGCAUAUCAAAAGAAAAUAAAAAUGUAAAAUCCUGAAGGACUUCAAAUAAGCUGUUAACAAGCAUUUCUUAGAAAAGAAUUUGAAAAUCUAAUGCUAACAUUAAAAUCCCAGUGCUGUGUAUCAUUAAACAACAACAUAUAGCUAGGCAAUUUAGAGCCUCACAUAACUAUUUCUGAUAAUAAGAUUGCGCAAAAUUAAUACAACUAAAAUCAACUUAAGCUACACAUUCUCUAAAAGAAGCUAAAAGAAGUGACCCAAAGACAUUAAUUAUCCAAGUUACUUCGUGCUACAAUCUAUGCCGUGCUUGGGCUUAAAGCUGCAACAACUGUGAUAUAAACAAUACAAAUAUGGGCAGCAUGCGAUUGUUUAUCCUUUAAACACAUGCAAGACGACAAUAAUUAUGUUACCUGUAAGGAAUGUGCUGGUGGGUCGUAGUAUCUCUAUACUUCUUGGCAAGACCAAAAUCAAUAAUAUAGACCUAACAGAUCAAUAGCAACAGAAAAGCAUAGGAUAAACUUAAUUUUAGAUGAAUGCUCCCCAAAAUAAUAAUAAUAAUAAUAAUAAUAAUAAUGACAAACCUGAUUUGCACGCCUUCCAAGACCCAUAAGAAAAUUAUCUGGCUUAAUGUCUCGAUGCAGAAAAGACUUGGAAUGGACAAAUUCAAUCCGGUUAAUCUAAGAAGGAAAAAAAAGACAGAUUAGAUAAAUUACGAAGUAAUAGCAUGCUGACCAAGAACAGGUCAUGAUCAGGUGGUAUCUUGACAUACUGCUCCAAAUGCCUGCUCUAACUAAUGGAUACUGAAAAAAGUUGAAAUGUAAUCUAAACCAAACAAAUUACAAAUAAUGGCAUACCAUUUGAUCGGCAAGCAUUAGAACAGUCUUUAAAGACAGCUUUCUGCUGCAAAAGUUGAAUAGAUCUUCCAGACUUGGUCCUAAUAAAUCCAUCACCAGAACAUUAUAGUCACCCUCAACACCAAACCACCUCACGUUCGGUAUUCCAGCUGCAAAGAUCAGAAUACAAUAGGUAAUGCUUCCAAAAACAUAUUUCGAUUGGUGUGACAUGAAAAAUAAUACAGGAAAUCCCAUUACUUCCUCCUUGCAGAAUCCUGUAGAGCUUUGCUUCAUACAGCAACUGUGGAUGCUUUGUCUUCACAUUUUCCUGCAAAGAAGGAGAAACAUAAAAACCGUUGUUCUGAACAAACAAAAGGUUGAUAUAAUGUGUUAUCAGAUUGUAAAGGAUAAGAGAGACGCCAUAACUUCUCACUGAUUUCCAGACAUUGCAUGUCUUAUCAGGUCAUAGAUACAUAUUAUGCGUGUUUUCAAAAAAAAAAAAAAAGUUAUGAAACAACAUGAUAUUUUGAUAUCUCCGAAACAAGGAGAAGUGCACUAGACCAAGGAAAUAAGUCCAGCCAUCUAUCAUAUUGUAGAAUAUUUUUACAAAUAUAUAAUCUAUGUCAAUUUUUUAUGGUGCACCUUAUAAGCAUGAAAUUCAAUAUUAAAUUGUAAGGAAAAUAAAGUAGACAAUGUCAUAACACUAACACAGAUUAAACUAAUUAGUCAAAUGCAGCAAGCACCUAAACUAGUUACUAAUCACAAUUUUAAUAUAUUUUUUCACCAUCAAAAAGUAAAAUUGCCAAACUGAACAGAAAGCUCAAUAAGAUCCAGCAAAGCUACUUAACAGGACGUAGUAGCUAGGUUAUUGGUGAAAGAAAGCUCUGGAGCUUCGCUACAGUGGGAAGCUGAAAUGAUCAAACUGUUGAACCCUAAAAACAAAAGCUUCAAUUUGAAACAUCUGGUUUUGCUACAUCAGGAAGAAAAAGCUACAGGUGCUUCUUCGAACAACUCUCGCUAACUUAUCCUGAAGCUCCAGUUGGGGCCCAAACAGGUCUUCGCAAGAUUAAAACCUGAAGAUUAAUUCACUCCCUAGAAUAUGCAACUAAAAACAAACAAAAAAAAAAGAUUUUCGUGCGCAACGAUGGAGAAUAGGCUAGCUUAAUCAGAAUGGUGGCACACAAUUAAUCAUAAACCCAAAAAGAUAUCCACCAAAACCAGCAUCUCUGAAGAUCAUCGAACUUACUAGUUUUAUCGCAACCUCCUCGUUCGUCUGGAUAUUAGUUCCUGUCGACAAAACAAGACAUUUUAAUCAGAAACGGCCCAAAAAUCAAAACUUUAAGCACAAAACAGGAGAUUUCCAAGGUAUCUGCAAUCACCUAGGUAAAUCUCCCCGAAGGAGCCGCUUCCGAUCUUACGACCGAGCCUGAACUUGUUCCCCACGCGAGGCUCCAUCACCGCGCUACGCAAUCAGAGGUUCUAAAUCCCUAACCCGAAACGGAAUAACCCUAACAACCCAAACCCCAACCAAAAAUUCGAAGAAGAAAAGGCCAAAAAGCCACACACACACCAAAAGAAUAAAAAAAAAAAAAUUAAAAAAAAAACCCACCACCGAUCACCCGAGACCGCAAAAGCAAACCGAAAUCCGAAGAUCGGGUGCACGAGGAUUCAGAUCGGCGCCCAUCGCCCUUCAAAAAGUCGAGUGGAUCAACGAAACGAAACAAAAUGGGGCGCAAAAUUUCGAGGAAAAGGAGGAGAGAUCAGGAUCUAGGGUUUGGGGGAAUUGGGGGAUUUAUUUAAUUAUUAUUAGUAGAUAGAAUCGAGGGUUUCGGAUGGCAUAAAUUGGGUGCGAAAUAGACGGGAGGGGAAAUAAUAGGGGGAUUAACAAAAAAAAAAAAAAAGAAAUUGGGUAUGGAACAACGCUUCAAUCCAAUCGAAGAAGCAGCGGUUGUGACUUGUGAUAGCGGAGACGCUCGGAUGAGACCCUUCUUUGCUUUUCCCCUCUCUCUCUCUCUCUCUCUCUCUUUAGGGGGAAAAAUUAUAGAAAGACCCCUCAAAGUUUAUAGACUUGUCCCCACACUUUUAACUUUAGCUAUCACACUCUCGAAAUUUUAUUAUUAGAGAUGUUAUUUAGAAUCCGUCUGCUAUUUUUUUAUAGAAAAAACUUUAAAAUUUCUUCCUAUGGUUUCUCACUUUAUCACUUUAGUACUCUAUAAUUUAAAGUAUAUCAAAUUAGUACCAUGUGGUUUCUCACUUUAUCAUUUUAGUACCCUGUGAUUUAAAGUGAAUCAAGUUAGUACCAUGUGGUUUUAUUUUUGUAUUAAGUUAGUACCCUGUAGUUUUUAAACCACAGGGUACUAAAGUGAUAAAAUGAGAAACCACAAAGUACUAAAGUAAUAAAGUGCGAAACCAUAGGGUAUUAACUUGAUACGCUUUAAACCAUAGGGUACUAAAGUGAAAAAGUGCAAAACCACAAGUACUAACUUGGUACAUUUUAAACCACAGGAUAUUAAAGUGAGAAAAAAUAAAACCACAAAAGAGAUAAUUAAAAUUUUUCCUUUUUUUAUAAGACGACGGCAUUCGUGCUUUUAAGAUAUUUUUAUGAUAAUAAGUAUUUCAAUCUUGUUGAUCAAACUAGUUUAAAUGAAUUUAGAUUAUUUAAUAGUAUCUAAAAAUUAAAUUUUAUGCAUUUUAAAAUUAUUUACGUUACUAAUAAAAAAAAGUCUUUAUUUGCCAUAAAAAACAUCACUUUUAUUAUUGGGCUUUGCAACUAAUCGGGCAGCCUUUUUAUUUUUGCAGAUAUCGGUCCGCUUUUUCAGCAAAAUCUGACAAAAAUACCCUUUAUUAUUUUUUCUCUUUCCUCUUUCUCUCUCUUCUUCGGUCUCUCUCGUUCUUUUGUUUUCCGCCCGGGAAAAAAAAAGGCGUAAGCCAGACGGCUGAAUUUCUCAGCAAUUUUUUCUUCUCUUUUUCUUUUUCUUCUUCUUCUUUCCUCGCUGGAGCACCUUUUUUUUCCCUCUUUUUCGAUCUUCUUCUAUCCUGUAAGAGCACAGGCUGUUUAACGAGCCACCAAAGCGCGCGCCACCGGCGACUUCGGCCUCGCAAAGCGCGAUUCCACCUGGCGGCUUUCUGCAGGGAGGGGUCUGGCACCGACGGACCCGGAGCGUCCGCAGCGAGGGUGGGCGCGCGGGGAGACGGGGCGGCGAGGUAACGGGGUGUCGCCCAGCCAAGGAGAUUGUUCGUGCCCGUCGAGGGCGGCGGUCACGCGCGCCGCCGGUGCUCCGGCUUCGGGCGGGGUCGCGCCGCCGUCGCGAUCUCCGACGGCUGCCUUCUGCUUCUUUCGUAAUGGGUAAUUUGGUUGCACGCGGGCCCAGUGCACGCAGCGGCGGCGGCGGGCACGCGGGGCGCACGCGUGCGCUGGCGCGCUGGCCGCGCGCGGCGUCGGCAACGAAGUACGUUCAUGGGCGAGGCAACCGCUCGAACUCCGUGGCGAGGUUGCGGCCCGGCGGGCGGCGAGCGGCCCGCCAGCACAUCGCCGUCUGCAGGGGCGCCUUGCGGAACAGGUCGAGGCUUUGGCGGCGCGGAGGCGGAGAAGACGGCAGCCGCGGCGCUCGAAGUGGGCGGCCAGAAACCGCGCUCGUCGCCGGAUGCGGUGGCUCGGUGGCGCAUGCUGAACUUCGCUGCCCGCUCUGCGCGCAGCCGCCGGUAGCACGCCGCGCUUGCUGUCUGCGCGCUUCGAUGGGAGGCCCUCGUCGGCUGCGUCCGGGAGCGUCACCCGCUGGCUCCGCUCCGCGGGCCUGCCGUUGACCGUUAAUGUGUUAAUUACACCAUUACACCAUUACGACGAAGAAGAAGCAGCCGCAGCGCGCCCACGUGCCCGCCCGCCGCCGCUGCGUGCACCGGCCCGCGUGCACCAUUACACCAUUACGAAGAAGAAGAAGCAGCCGUCGGAGAUCGCGACGGCGGCCGACGCCGCCCGAGCGGAGCCCCGGGCUGUGCGCGUGACCGCCGCCCUCGACCGGCGCGACGUCCCCGGCUGCGACACCCCGCUCCACCUCGCCGCCCGCCUCCCGCGCGCCCCCACCCUCGCCGCGGCGCUCGCGGUCGUCGGUGCCGACCCCUCCCUGUAGAACGCCGCCGGGUGGACGCGCUUGGCGAAGCCGGAAGUCGCCGUGGCGCGCCCCGUGCUCUUACAGGAAGAAGAAGAAGAAGAAGAAGAAGAAGAAGAAGAAGAAGAAGAGGGAAAAAAAAAGGUGCUCCAGCAGGAGGAAGAAGAAGAAGAAAAAGAAAAAGAGAAGAAAAAAUUGCUUCGCCUGGCCUUCGCUUUUUUUUUCCGGCGGAAAAAAAAAGAACGAGAGAACGAAGAGGAGAGAGAAAGAGGAAAGAGAAAAAGUAAUAAGGGUAUUUUUGUCAGUUUGUUGAAAAAGCGGACCGAAUCUGUAAAAACGAAAAGGUGGCCCGAUUUUGCAAAAGCCCAAAAUAAGUGGAUUUUUUAUGCAAAAAGGCCAUAAAAAAAUCACAAAAUCGAUGAUUUUUGAUAAUCUAUAUAAGCCGUUUGCUUAUUUAAUGGUGUAGAAUAAUUGAAUCAGUUUGGAUUUUUGAUAAAAAUAUUUUUAUAUUAUUUAGAUAACGUUUGAUAAUUUUGAUCAUGGAUUGAAAAUUUCUAACAUCUAUUUUCGCAAGGUUAUUCGUUUUUUAUCGUUUAUUUUUUGACUCUUCAAUGAACUUGAUAGUAAAUUUUAAAUUUUAUAAAAUUUAAUCUCUAGACGUUAUAAAUACUUCAGAUCAAUUUUAAUGAUUCCACUUUGAAAUUCCUAUCAUUUAAAACGACUUAGAGAGACAAAAACUUUCGUUAUUUUAAAAGAAUAAUAGCUGGACUCUAUUAUUUAUACAUUCAAAAAUUACGCGUAAUUCCUUUUGCAUAGGGCAUGUUUCGCAGUAACAAAUAGGGGUGUCAAGCUGGGGCCGACUCGUGUUCAGCUCGUUUAAUAAACAAGCCGAAUAUUAAACGGGUCGAAUACGAGCUGGCUCGUUAAAGUAUCGAGCCAAAAAAUACAGUUCGUGUUCGGCUCGUUAACAAACGAGCCGAACAUGACCUGGCUCAUGAGCUGGCCAAUAAACGAUAAAUUAAAAGGAUUAAAUUGAAUAUAUAUAUAUAUAGAGUGAGGCUACUAUGCUAUCGGAAGCACGGAGCCUUCCGUGCUUCCAGCUCGUUUUUGAUGUUGCGACUUUCGAAUCGUCGAUCGGCUCCGUUAAACUUGAUCUAGAGUAUUUGGAGUACCUAGAAAAUAAAUUUUAUUAUUUUUCGAUAUCAUUUGCCUAGUGAUCGAAUGGGCUCAAAAUCAACAAAUUUCAACAAAUUAAUGGCGCGUAGUAGUUGAGCCCGUUUUGCCAAGUUUAACGGUUGUAGAAAUAUCCAAAUCUACGUGAAAUUUGAUUAGAAAAUUCUUUUAUACUAUAUUAAACAAGAUCAAUAUCUUUGAUUAAAAAUUUAUGUCAUAAUUAUUACAUUUUCUAAGAUUUUUAUUUCAGCGUUGAUUUUGAGCCGCCUUCGUUCACGAGGCAAGAUAUCGUAAUCAUAAAUUGUUUUCUAGGUACUUCAAAUACUCAUAGAUUCAAAUGUAAACGAGCCGAUCGACAUUCGAAAGUGCACAUCGAAAAACGCUAGCUGGAAGCACGGAGGCUCCGUGCUUCCGAUAUGCAUGAUUAGCCUCACUUAUAAUAUUAUAUAUAUAUAUAUAUAUAUAUAUAUUUAUUUAUUUAUUUAUUUAUUUAUUUAUUUAUAAAAUCUUAUCCAUUAAGUUUUGCUCUAAUAGUUGAAACUUUAUAUAUAAAUAAUUUUUUUAUAAUUGAGCCUGACUUUAUAUUUUGAUUUUGCUAAAAAUUUAAUAAUUAAUUUUUUUUAAAAUUUUAAAAUUUAUUGUGUCACAUUUGUACAGAUCAUCAGUAACAAGUCAAUAAUAUAUUUUUUUUUGAAAGAAAAAAAUAUAAUAAAAAUAUAUUUUUAUUAAUAAUAAUUGUACGGUUGAAAAAAAAUUAUUGAUUAAAAAUAUGCGGAUUUCAUGGCAAGGAUCUCCGUACAUUUUUUGCUUUUUUUCUCCUCUCUUUGCUUGCUGUUACGCUGACGCGUGGGCCCCACAAGAGUAUCGGGCCCCACCUGUCGGUGCCACACCCUGACGACAUGUCAGCGUUACACCGAAGAGAAGAGAUUUGUGAAUAAAUAAAAUAAAUAAAUAAAUAAAUAAAUAAAAUAAAAUAAAAUAAAAUAAAAUAAAAGGGUAGUGAGACCGUGAGAUGGUGGGGUAAGUGGUGGGGAGAGUGUGGAGGGGACCGAAAAUGUCCCCAAAACGAUAGCUUAUCCCACCCACUCACCAACCUAACCCAAAACGCCCAAUAAAAUAAUUUAAAAAAAAAAAACCCUUCAAAAACACUGACAAGGACACAAAUACACUCUCUAUAAUAGCAUAGUAGAGCUACUAUGCUAUCAAAAAUAUAAAGUAAUUGGUACUUUCGAUUUUUUAGCUGAUCAUUUCUAACCAUUAUAUUAGUAUUAUUAACCAAUAGGGACCACUCAACCCUAGGAAAAAUUCUAGAAUGCAACGGGUAUAUUAGUGACGUGGCGUAACAAACCAAUCAAAUUAAUCCUUUUAAGAAUAUAUGUCCCAUCAUGAUUGUAAAAAAGUAUUUUUAUUGUACUUUUGUUUGAAAAGAAGGAAUGUGAUUGGCUUGUUAUUGAUGACGUGGUGCAAGUGUGACAGUGUAGAAUUCCUCCAACCCUAGGGGGACCACUCAACCCUAAGGGGACCGCUAUCAUCCCAACCGUAGAAUUUUUAAUCCAAGAGCUAAAAAAUCGGAAACAUUAACUANUAUAUAUAUAUAUAUAUAAGAAGUAGGCUGGACUACUAUCAAUAGCACCAAGGUAUUUGUGCUAUUAAUUUUUUAUCCUUUGGAUUAAGAAAUGUGUGGUUAGGAUGAUGUGGGACCACUAGGAUUGAGUGAGUGGUUGGUUGAAUAGUAUAAUCUAAUAGGUAAAAAUAAUCAAAAAAUCAAAUCUAACGAUAGAAAACUUGAUAGUACUAAAUUUUUGGUGCUAUCAAUAGUAUCCGAGCCGUACUCAUAUAUAUAAUAGAGAAAACUUUAAAAACCCUCAUAUGGUUUCACACUUUUUCAUUUUAGUACCAUGUGGUUUAAAGUGUAUCAAAUUAGUACCAUGUGGUUUCUCAUUUUAUCAUUUUAGUACCAUAUGGUUUAAAGUGUAUCAAGUUAGUACCCUAUAGUUUUGCACUUUAUCACUUUAGUACCCUAUGGUUUAAAAAACUACAGGAUACUAACUUGAUACAAAAUUAAAACCACAGAGUACUAAAGUGAUAAAGUGCAAGACCACAGGGUACUAACUUGAUACAUUUUAAACUACAGGAUACUAAAGUGAAAAAAAUUGAAAUCACAAGGAGAGUUUUAUAAGUUUUUCCUAUAUAAUAUAAAAAAGUAUAGGUCGUUUUGAAAACUUUGAUGAUGUUUCCAAAGGGUCGCUAUCCUGUUUUAUUUUUUUCCUUCCUAUUAUUGAUUUUGUAAUAAUUGUUUAUUAUUAUAUGAAAUAAUUUCGGAUGUUAUCAUGAAUUAUGCUGUACGAAGUCUUACAUAUUAGUUAAGAACCAAAAAAUAUAUAUGGGUUGGAUACACUGGUAUCCAAUUAUCCGUUAGGUUUAUAAUGCGUGACAAAGAUGCACACAACUUACUAUCACCUAAUAACGUUUUGUUUUAUUGCAAUGAAAUGAAUUGAACCGGAGUGGUUGGAGCAGAGCUCAAGCUCCUUUUGGGCAACGUGGUUCGAACUUGACCCAAGUCACUUUCUCGUUGAGAUGGGCUCAUUGUGAUUCUCGCAUACUUGGUCAGUAUGCGUAAACUAAAUAUAAUACUUAUUUAAAAUUAUGUUUUCUUGUAGCGAUAUGUUUUUAGAGACAAAAAUUAAUUGUUUCACACGACACAGAGUAGGAGAAAUUAAGCUUCGAUUCCUACAAAUCCAAUUCUACGAACAAAUGGAUCAAUUAAUGUUCUUACUAAUCGAAAGAAAUAAGGUAGACCACGCCGAAUAGGUCAAUAAUAGAAGGGUAGGUUUAAAUUGAACCAAAUUAGCCAAUAUCAAAUUGAGUUGGAACUUCCCUAACUCUCUACUCUGUCAAUGUCCCAGUACACUUUUUUAUUGCUUUUUAUUAAAAAAAAAAGGGGGAAAAGUAAAGAGAAAUAUAAGCCAUUUCAAAGCAUCUUACUUUAUAUAUGAAUUGUAGACACGAAAGCUACUUAAUUUAUGAGGUCAUGUUUACAAAUUAAUCUAAACAUUGUAGAUGCCCAAACUUAGAUUUAUUAAUGGCUACAAAUUAUAUAUAUAUAUAUGUUUUUCUUGUUACUGCAGCUUGUUGACAUUUUCAUGCCAAUCCAAACCAUUUUGUUGCAACAUCAUUCUCUGCUCCAUUAAAACCCAUGAACAUGUCUCAAUCUACAUAUUUUAUGCUUCCAAGUAAAAUGUUUUUAAUGAUAGUAAAUGUAGAAAACCUCAAACCAUUUUCAUGUCCUAUAAUUAAAAGUACACAUUCCUCGACUCAGAUAAAAUUUCUAAUAGCUAUUACACGUGCGAUGAGUUUAUUUGAAACUCUUCUUCUUUUUUUUUUUUUGGUAUGAAAUUAGAGUUUGUUGAUUGUUCACUUCAAACCAUAUAGAUGGGAAUGCAUUGUAUUCCGUCACUAUCAUUAUUUGUUCAAAAGAAAAGACGUAGCGAAACUGGGCAAUCUAUUAUUACAAAGCAAAACAGCAUCCGAAGAACUGAGUCGACACGUCAUCGGUCGAAAAAAACAAGCAUUCAUGUAUUUGUUUGAUGUUCAAACAGUUUGGUUUUGGAUUCUUAUCAACAAUGCAAAGAAAGAAAUUAGUCAAUAGGUAGGUGAUUACCUGGUGAGAGAGCAUCCUAAAAAAAUACACAAAAAAAGAAAAAGAAAAGAAAGAUUACUGGGGGGAGGGGGAGAGCUACUAAAAGAGAGCAAAAUUAAUUUUCUGUUAGAAUUAAAUUGUGUCAACUUAUAAUUAAAAGAUUUUGGAGUUCAUAUACUCUGAUACUUACUAAUGCAUCUGAUUUAAGAUAGUGAAAAUUAAUGAAUUAUUUUAGAUAGCUUGAUAUGUAUAAAUAUAUAUAUAUUCGUUUGAAUGCGUUAAUAUCUUAUUCUGUAUGUGCUUUUGAUUUACUCAGAAAAAAUAUGUAGUAUUUAGUAGAUAAAAAGUGCGAUCAAAUAUAUAAUACACGCAAACAUCAAUAUAUAAAUAAAUAAAUAAGAAGUAAUUAAUCAGUGGAGAAGACAUGUCUCUUUAUGAGGCUGUUGGGGUUAGUUAUGCUGAAUCCCAACUAAGAGUGAGGUGCAAAUUAUAAAUAUUUUUUUGUUACCACCUUUUUAAUUAGUUGGUACUUGGUUGAUAGUUAAAAAAGAAAUUGUUGGCACCUUUUUCCUCAAAAAAUGACUUUGGUAGUUGGCAUGCACUGCACCCAUUAUUUCCAUUAUGCCUCUCCCUAUAUAUUAAAAAAAUAAAAUAAAAUUCAAUUUGCCUCCUCAUGGUAUAGUGUAUUUUUUUUACUUUGUUGUCAUGUGGUUCAAAAGAUUGCACUUAUUUAUUUUGUAAUUUUAUUUUUAUUUUAACGAAAAAGAUUUAUCAUCAAAUAGAAUAGUUUUUUUUUUUUUUGAAAAAUAUAGAAUAAUUUUCAGUAUAACACUAGGCCAGUUAAUGCAAAACAAAAAUAAAAUUAUAGAGCAAAUAAGAGUAACUUUUAAACCAUGGAACGACGUAGCAAAAAUAUGCUAUAUAUAUAACAGGCUAAUUAAAUAUAAAAUUUUGAAUUACGGGAUGGCAAAGUGAAAAUAUCUUAUGACUAUAUAUACGUCACGAAGGCAAACUGAAGUUUACCAAAAAAACGAAGAAGAAGAAGAAGAAGAAGAAGAAGAUGGUAUACAGUAUUUAUAGACAUGUAAAGAUGAUGGAGUUUGGUAUAACUUGAAAAUUCUUUGAAAAUCUUAGCAUAAAUUCCAUCUAGAAAGAGAUAGUGUAUUCCGAGUAUUAAAAAAUAUAAAAUAAUUAUUUUCUUCAAAAAUUUAAACUUUUUCUAAAUAUUCUGAUAGGUUUAACAUGUAGAUUUAAAAUAAAGGAAAGAAAAUUUGUAUACUAAAAGUCUAAUGUGAUAUGAACUCAGAAUCUAUUGCUCUAAUAUCCUGUUAAAUUAUAAAAAAUAAUCGUUUAUUUCUCCGGAUUAUGACUUUAAGAAUAAAAUCUUUAGGCAAUAAGCUGAAGUCAUAUAUUUUAUGAAUAACAAUUUUAAAUAAACUUGGUUCAGUUUUGAAACCACAACUGGUUUUUUUUUUUAGUAGCUUCAAGUUGCUGGGGAGUUGUUAGAUUUUUUUUUUUUUUUUUUUUUUGAGAGAGAGAUAGGUAGCACGCUACCCGCUUUAUUUAUUUUAUUUAGAAAUAAAUUUAACUGAAAAUAUAAAUCAACUAAGAUUUGAACUUAGGACCUCGGGUAUCAACCACCAAACCCUUUGCUACGGUCAGUGAGUUGUUAGAUUUUUGCGAAAAAAAAGUUGUUGUUAAUGCUCUUCGAACACAUUAAACAUAUCCACAUAUUAUCCAUCACAAGAUACAUCUAAUUAAAAAAUCGUAUUUGAUAAGUGAGCUCUCCAAUAAAUAAAAAUCAAAAAAAGAAAAAAAAAAGAAGAAGAGGGGAGAGAUAAGUGAGCAUAAGAAAGCGUACAUAAACGCUGUGAACAGGUGCACUACCAUUUGUUAGCCACAAAAACGUUACAACUUAUUUUUGAAUAUUCUCAUGCAUAUAUAUAUCAACAAUGGAAAAUGAGUACACCUGAGAAAAAAUAAAAAAAAAAAUAAAGGAACUGUAAAUGAAUAGUGCAAAUUAAUUAGCAAUUACAUCUUAGGUCAAAUCUAGAGCAGUAUCUCUCAAACGUACACCAACUUAAUUAAUUACAAGCGUUACCUACUAAAUCCCACUUGGCUUUUCUAUUUCCUGCUUAAGUAAUUUAUUUAAUCAUGAAUAAACCUACAACCACUUAAUUAAUUUAGGCAUCAACCAACCAAUCACAACUGAGCUUUGAGCGAUGUAAGUCACACUUCAUUAUCGAAAACUCUAGACCCCCUAUUUUAAUUAAUUUGAAUUUUGAAAUUGGAUUUUGUAAGGUUCCCCACUUUCAUUGGCUCUCUUUUUUUCAAAAAAAAAAAAUCCAUUUUUCACGGGCCUAUUUGCAAACUAUGUCAUUUUGCAGCAUUAGAAUAUUUUUUAUUAGACCAUUCAAAGAAUAUUUAUAUUUAUAUAAGGGUGUUUGAAUGGUUUUUUGGAAUAUUGAAAAAUAACAAAAGUAUUCAUUCCAAAAAAAAAACUACAAAUUUAUUUAUUUGUAAAAGUAGAAAGAACUCAAACCUCCCAAUCUUUGGAUUUAGUUAUUAUUGUAAUGCUGGAAUUUAUUAAGCAUAUAUCAUAAUAUGUAAUUUCUCUGCAAUAAAAUUAAAAGGUAUUCAAAUAAACGCAAAAGUGGCAAUUUCUGAUGCUCAAAUUCAAAAUUGCCAUUUUGAUAUUCAAGAAAUAUUUAGAUGCUCAAGCGAUGCCUCAGACGCCCACAUUCUCUCUCGAAAUUUACCAUAAAAAUUGAUUUUUUCAAUCAAAGAAUUGAUAUUGUCAGAUCAGAUUUAUUAUAAUUAACCAUACUCGGAAUUUUUUUACCCUAACUAUAGUACAAAUUGCUCCUGUGAUCUUGGUAUUUUUUUUUUUAAAAAAAAAAACUCUAAAACCAAGCAAAGAUCAGCAACAGAAAACAUAACUUUUUUUUUUCUCUAUUUGAAAAUAAAAAAAACUUAAAAAAUAUAACUCACCAGUCACCAAUCAACAUCCCCGCUCCUGCGUAGUCAAACAUUUUGAAUAGAAUGGUCAACUUUUCAGAACAAAGUACAUAAAAAAAGUCCAUAUCCUGUUUGACAUAAACACCUCAACCAUCAUAUUAUUAUUAUUAUUAUUAUUAUUAUUAUUAUUUAUUGGCAGUUCCCUCAUCAUAUAAUAACUCCUUCAACUAUUUAGUCAUGAAUUUAUUUUGCUUUAUAUGGUACAACAUAAUAAAAAUUUGAUGGAAAUGUUAAAAUCUAGUUGACUAGAAUCACUGAAUUUUAAAAAUUUAAAAUAAAAAUAAUAUAAAAUUUGGAAAAGAAUAAAUAAAAAAGGAAAGGAAAAGUCUAAUCAAACGGCCGCGAAGAGUCCUCCUCCUCUGUUUCUCCCCCCUUCUCUUUCCUUUUCCCACUCCAAAAAAACAGAGAUUUUGUGUGUGUGUGUGAGAGAGAGAGAGAGAGAGAGAGAGGGAGAGAGAGAGAGAGAGCACCCAUGGCGAGGGAGGGAUACAGAUCGAAAUCGUAUGCGGACGGGCGCAUGCAGGUGGUGCCGUACGGGCUCCGAUCGUACAGCAGCAGUAGCUCCCGCGGCUACUUCUCCUCCUACGAAUACCAAUACGAAUACGGAUACGAAUACGACCCUAGGGCGUCGAAGGGGAUGGAGGUGUACGGGGGGAAACAACCAUCCCUUCCGAGCAAACCCUCGUCGUCGUCUUCUUCGUCGAAUCGCAGCAAGAACAAGGACGGUGGUGGUGGUGGAGGUGGAGGGUGGGUAUUUGGGGAUCCGGAGUUCCAGAGGAAGAAGAGGGUGGCGAGCUACAAGGCCUACUCGGCGGAGGGGAAGCUCAAGAGAUCCUUCGGAAGGAGCUUCAGGUGGCUCAAGGACAGGUACAACGACGCCGUCUAUGGCUGGUGGUGAUCCAUCACUCAUCCUCGAUCCCCCAAAAAAAAGAAAAAGAAAAGCAAAAAAGGUUGGGUUUUUUUUCCCCCUCUCUCUCCUCUUAUUAUCCUUUUGAUCCUACUUUUUAUGCUGGGUUUAUGUUUUUGUGGUUGGUUGGUUGGUUGGUUUGGAUCAAAGAUGAUGAUGAGAUUUUUACAACUUAUUUGGUUCUUUUGGUCCUUUUCAGAUGAUUAGCUUGUUUAAAUUGGUUUUCUUAAGAAGAAGGUGGUUGAAUUAACUUGGCUCUGGAUUUUGUGGGGAAAUUUUUUUUUUUUUUUUUUUUUUUUGAUUUGACUCUUUGAAGAAGCAAGUUGCUGGCUGGUGUGAAUCAAAGGUUUAAGCAUGAUGGCACCUCUCUUACUUCACUCUUUCUACACCAUCUUUUAAUUCCAUAUGCAUGGUUGGUUCCUUAUUUUAGUCCAGCAAGAUACAAGGAAUUAAGAUGAUUGAGGGUGAGAAAAAAAAAAGAAGAGAGCAUUGAAGUGUAUAUAAUUUUAGAAAGUAGAGAAACAGAAAAGUAGACAACUUUUACAGAAACCAAACACACCUAUUAAACUAUGUUCGGCCGAUCAAUCAUUUCUCAGUACCACAUUAGUUUGUUUGCAUAUUGACCCUCCCAAGUAUAGGAUUUCCCAGGCCACAAAAAUUUCACACCAACAUAUUUUCUGCACCAAUUUGGUCAUGCAGUAGUAGCCCACAAACUUGUGGCUUCUGGUAAAUCAGUAGUACAACCUGUCCCCUGUUUUCACAUGGGUGCCAUUUACUAUUCAGGAGGACAUAGAUUUAAGUUAUGAACAGAAUGAUAAUUAUGUUAGUUACGGAAAGCUAAUGAAACAAAAUACCAUGUUAGCAUAUGCUGAAUGAGCGAGCUUCUUUUCUGAUCAAAUUUUGAGAAUUUUUUUAUUAGCUGCUUCUUAAAAGAAUAUAUAUAUAUAUAUAUAUAUAUAUAUAAACAAGAUCAUCAAAACAUUAUUUUGUACUAUUUCAGAAAAUCCAAACCACGAAUAAAAUUAUUCAACAAGCAGAAUAAUAUUGUAGAGAAAACUGCCAUUGGUUUUUCAUAGGUCCCAUAUAUGCGCGGGUACACAAUCAACAUCCUCCGCCACCACCACCUCCUCCGCCACCACAGCCCCCACCGCCACCGCCGCCUCCUCCUCCGCCACAGCCGCCACCGGCGGCGACACUGCCAGCGGCGGCGCCACCACCACCCGAUGCAUAGUGCGAACGUUUCCGCCUACGUUUGUUUGAUCCAUGAUCGCCGCCACAAAUGAAAAUGGCCAUGGUUAUCACCGCAAGUGAUGCUGCAAUAGCACAAAACAAUAACACACCUGGAGUGGCAUAAACCAUAGAAAUAGGAUGCCCUAAAGCUCCCAGAAUCCUUGCCAUCUCUCUCCCUGCUUCUCUCUCCAAUUAGUUAACUGAGGUUGCAAAUACGUAAUAUUGUGAAUGUAUUCAUGGUUCCUGUAUUAGGACUGUGAGUUCCUUAUAUGUAGGCUUGCGAAUAUGUNUGUCUUAAAUCAUACAUAGUUUGUGAAAUUGGUACCGAGAUUUUGCACCCUUAAUUUGGCUAGUGAGAGUAAUGCAUCUUACUUUUGAGUAGAUGGUUUCUGAUUGUAUGAACAAAUCUUAUAGCUCAUCUCUUUUGAGCAAAGUCGUAUGAAUGUGACCAUGAUUUCAGGUGAUUUGUGACAUCUCAACAUUGCUUACGAGAUGUACAUGUUCUAGUGCAACAAAUGAUGAAAACUUGUGAAAUUAUGUAAGCUCUUAGAACUUUUAGAUAUUCCCUACAAAGAGAGAGAGUUCAUCUACGAUAAGGGGGGCAUGGAACCAAAACACCCACAAUGCCAAACUGAUAAUUUUGGUUUGAUUUGAAUCAAUUUUGCUCUUCAAUGAUUUGGUUUUAAUUUGAAAACUUUUCAAAUAAAAAUAUUCUAGUUUAGUUUUGGAUUGGUAAAUUGAAAACCAACCCAAACAUCAAUUUGAUAAAUUAAAAGUUUAAAAAAUUAACCAAUAAACUAUACAUAUUACUUUGGUAUCAAAAUUGUCAAACCAGCAGACCCAUCUGAACCAAAUCAAAUGGUUCGAUUUGUUUUUCCACACUAUUGGUUCAGUUAUGGUUGUGAUUUAUUUUCUCAAUCCGAAGUCAUCCAUUUGAUUUCAAAUUUUCUUCCAACCCAAACCAAACAGAGCCGUGCCCAUCGACUUUAAAAAGACGUCGACACCAGCAUCACCAGCAGCAUAGCCCUUUGGCAUCAAGCACAUAAGUUUAAUACUAACUGAAGCAUCCCAUAAACCUAGGCUUGGUUUUUUCAACCACAGAAAAAACAACAAAAAACAAAAACUUAUCCAGUUAUACAUUACUGUGCAUAUUUAUACCAUGGAUCUCAACAUGCUCACUCAAGAGAAAAGAAAAAGGCAAAUGAAAGAACUUACCAACAAGCACUGCUCAACAUGCUUCUUUCAGGGAGAAUGGAGAUACAUCACAACCUACUUUUCUAUUUAACAAGAUCCUCAAUUUCCUAAUCAUCAUUACUGAGCUGUUUCUUUUUUUUCUGGAUAGAAUUAUUGGUCCCUCCAGAUAUGUGUAAACAUAACACUGAAAAGGAAUCAAUUCUUUUGCCUUUUAAGUUUCAUCGCCUUUUUUCGGCAGCAGAGUUAAAAGGCAUUUGUCUACCUUCUCUAGUUUGAGGACUAGCGUGCACACUAUGCUUCUCCAUGUACAUAUACCUGUAUGGAAUAUGAAUAACCUAUGCUAUGUAUAUAUAUAUACCUUUCCUCUUGUUUCCCCCUUAGAAUAGGUGCUACUAAUAAUUCCCUCUGCUUGGAGGUUUUCUUGAGGACCCAAGCAAAGCUUUUACUAAUUUUUUAAGCUUCUGUUUCUUCACUAUCAAGCUUCUCUGGUUACAAGCCUUGACAAGUUUGCCAUUACCUGGAGUGCAAAAGAGUAUCGCUUUGAUGGCCAACUUUGUUUUUUUUUUUUUCCCCGCUAAGUUCGUACGACUCAGAAAAAGAGAAAUGGCAAGCCUACUAUUGCUCAUGUAUCUUAUCCAGCCUGAUUGAUAUAUCUAACUCUCAAGGGAUGCCGAUGAUGCUGCUGUUUAUUUGUUUGCCCUAAAUUCUACGUCAUAACGAGAUACGGCCUACUUGAUCUGGCUAGUGAGAUUCCGCCCAACCCCCCAGCCCUUUUUGAGUAAAACUAGUGAGGAAGUAUGUAAUUAGAGAUCUGAAUAUGUACAUUACUAAGAUUUGGUAGCAAAGCUGAUGGUAUCUACUUCAAUUCAACAGCUUCUCAUGCAAACGGGGGGAAAGAACUAGGCGUGUCAUGUGCCAUCAGUGAGACUGAGGCAUCUAAAAGUUGCUGUGUAAAAAGAAGUUCACGAUCCAGUAUAGGCCGUAAACAGCUAAAAUCAUCAGCACUAGAGAUUCUUUCACUCCUUUAACAACUAUCGUUUUGCUCCGUCAAUUCUCUUCUUCUACCGUGAUUUUGCACCUUAUCUUCUGCCUGCUGUGUUUUGCAUGCGAUGAUCUUCUGAAUACUUGGUCUUGCCGUUCCAAUACUUUAACCGCUACACAAGUUUGGAUCACUAAAUGUAAUGCCUAUAGUAGAUAGAUGAGCAAUACUGAAGCGAAGCAGCAUGAAUGCAACUACAUUUUCACUGCAACUACAAACGAAAGAUGAAGACUCACACUCAGACUCAACCACAAGGAGAACUUGCAAAUAAAGCAGAGCAAAAAAUUUCUUGUCGAGUCUAGCAAUCAAUAAAGGAUCCAUCCAAGCCAAGAGAACACAAUCAUAAAUCAGACGGAGCAGUCCGACGAAAACGGGGGGGAAACCGAAACCACUAAUAAGGGAAGGAAGGAUCAAUAAAACUGAUGUAAUAAGAAGAGAGAAUAGCAGAAGGCGACCGACCUAAAGGAGGACGAGGCCGAGCUCGGCCGGUCUCAAAGGGUUCCGGAGGCGGUAGUUGUAUAAAUAGUAGUGGAGCUGGCCGUCUCCCGGGCCGAACUUCAAGUCCUUGAGGAAGGACUCGUUGUGCAUGACGUCGAGGGCGUUGAAGACGUCGUAGUCCUUGCGCUUGGCGACGAUGAGGGCGUCGUUGGUGAGCUGCAGGAGGGGCGUCUUGGUGGCGACGUUGUAGUAGGAGUAGGCGGCCUUGAGGACGGUGUAGUUCUGGUUGUUGAGGAUGGAGGAGGGCAGCGUGUAGAAGCUGCAGAAGUCGGUGAUCUCGUGGGUCUCGGGGCUCUCGACGAGGUAGCUGUCGACGACGUCGUCCCUGGGGAGCAGCCAGUGCUCGACGUCGGCCUCGUCCAAGUCGGGGGCGACGGCGAACUGCGCGAGGUAGUCGCGGAGCAGCCGGGUGACGGCGGCGACGUCGCGCAGCUCCAUCCUGCGGAAGCCGGGGGUGGCGGGGCUGUCGGGCAGCUUGUAGAGGCGGAUGGUGCGGCUCAUCGUCAUGCGGGCGCCGAGGCGGGAGAAGCCGACGUCGAUCAGCUUCUUGGGGUUGAGGGAGCGGUGCCAGUAGCGGCAGGUCGUGAUGGGGGUCGGGAGCACCACGCCGGCGGUGUAGGCCGCCUGCCAGACGUUCUCGAGGUGGACGCGGCGCGUGACCUCCUUGAUCAUGACGGGGGCGAGGCGCUUCGACCGGAGCUUCUUGUGGACGCAGAGGAAGUUGAUCUCGGCCAUGCGGACCACGUCCGAGCGCACGCGGAUGCGCGCGGGCACGCCCGUGAUGAAGGCCACGAGCUUCUUCGUGGCCUUGACGCGGACGCCGAUGUGCCAGGCGCGGUAGUAGCCCGGGGGGCGGAGCGCCCACUGCAGGAAGUCCUUGGAGUAGUUGAACCGGAACAUGUUCUCGUCGUCCUCCACGUAGUUGUUCGUCAGCAGCGCGUAGACCUCGUCGCAGGUGCGCUCGUCCUCCAUGUCGCACGUCGUCCACUCGUACGGCGCGGGCAGGUUGUACGGCUCGGGCUUCACCUCGGAGAUCGGCGUCGGGGGCUCGAUCGGGCCCUCGGGGAGGGAGGAGUCGCCGAGGUCCUUGAAUUGCCCCACGGGUUGCGUCUCCCAGAAUCGGUGCCGCUUCCCGCCCAGGCUCAGGGUUUCCUGGACCUUGCGCGCUAGGGCUUCGAUCGAGCUCUCCGGCGGCGCCUCCGCCUCCGCCUCCGCCGCCGCCUCCGACGGCGGAUUCGGAUCCGGAUUGCCGUUAGGGUUGUUCUCCUCCGAGGAUCCCACCAUAUUGAAUCGAAGAAGAAGAAGAAGCAGCAGCAGCAGGUGAAGCCUAGCGAGAUCUGAGUAUCGGAUUCAGAAGCAAAAUCGAAUUGUUACCUUUAGAUCGCGGAGGAGGAGAUCGACGUGAGGGGGCCUGGGAUCGAGAGGAGGGAUUAGAUUAGGGCUUGGUUUGGGAGGGUUAGUGAGGUGAAGGGGAAGAGAUUAGGGUUUGAUUGGGGGUGUGGGAGGGAGGGGUAAAAGAGGGAAGGGGCGGGGGCGAUGAAGAAAAGGAGCCGCUUUUGGACGCUUCUCCAUUAAACCAUCUGCGAAGUAAGCCGCACCAUUCCUUAGUCCUUACUACUUGGUAAGAAUGUACGAAACCCCCCCACCUAUGGUGAUUUCUGAAGGAGCCCCCAAAACUUUAAUUUAGCUCGUGUUAACCUUUUCUUUUUAGCCCCGUUUGGAUUCCUCCAAAAACGUAGCAUAGUUAAACUAUCCUACGCCGGUAGGAAAAAAUAAUCCUAUGAAGCGUUUGGAAGAAAAAAAAAUAAUGUAAUUUUUGGAGUAUAGUUAUACUAUACUCCAAAAAAUAAAGUAAACUUACAAUCCACUUUAACCAAAAGAAAAAAAAUUCCACCAUUUUGGGCUCCCAAAGAUGUAUCAAUUUCUAAAUUUUAAAUUUCAACAUAAAAUUUUAAAUUUCAAAAUUUAAAAUUUUAAAAUUCAAUUUUAAUUUUGAUUUUAAAUUUUAAUUUUCAAAUUUCAAUUUUCAAAUUUCAAAUUUCAAAUUUCAAAUUUCAAAUUUUAAAUUUCAAAAAGUUCAAAUAUCAAAUAUCAAAUAUCAAAUUUCAAAUUUCAAAUUUCAAUUUUCAACUUUCAAAUUUCAACUUUCAAAUUUCAAAUUUCAAUUUUCAAAUUUCAAAUAGUUCAAAUUUCAAAUUUCAAACUUCAAACUUCAAACUUCAAAUUUCAAAUUUCAAAUUUCAAAUUUCAAAUUUCAACUUUCAAAUUUCAACUUUCAAAUUUCAAAUUUCAAAUUUCAAAUUUCAAAUUUCAAAUUUAAAAUUUAAUUUUAUUUUUAAUUUUUAAUUUUUAAUUUUCAAUUUUCAAAAUUUAAAUUUAAACUUAAAUUUUAAAUUUUAAAUUUAUAAAUAUGUAAAUUUAUAAAUUAUUAAAUUUAAAAUUUAAAAUUUUAAUUAUAGAUUUUUUAAAUUUCAAAAUUUAAAGUUUAAAUGGUAUACUUUAAAUUUUAAAUUUUAAAGUUUCAAAUUUCAAAUUUGAAAUUUCAAAUUCCAAAUUUCAAAUUUCAAAUUUAAAACAUAAAAUCUAAUUUACUUUUUAAAUUUUAAAUUUUAAAUUUUAAUUUUAUAUUUUGAAUUUUUAUUUUUAAUUUUUAAAAUUUUAUUUUUAAAUUUUGAAUUUUGAAUUUUGAAUUUUGAAUUUUGAAUUUCAAAAUUUUAGAAAUUUAAUUGUUAUAAAUACUGUGGAAUUAUAUGAUCUGUAUCCAAACAGCUUAAAAAUGAAGCUGUAGAAUUUUUUUGUAGUUACAGGAUUCCGUAUUUCAUUUAGACCAAAACCAUAGAAUAAAAAUUCCAUGGAGUUUUUUUAACUAUGUAUCCAAAUAGGGCCUUAGUGUAAAUUUUCUAAGUCAAUAGUUUUGUCAAAUUUAAUGAAUUUAUUAACUGUUAAUUGUUAAAAAAAAAUGUAGGCUUAUUUGCUGAAAAGUGAUUUAUUUGAUAAAAAUCAUUUAGAUUUUGGUUCCUAGGAACAAAAACUAAAUUUGAGGGGUUUUCAUACAUUUUCACCCCACGCAAGUCCGGGACAUUCCGAAUCCGAUGCACGGGGAGGCGUACAAAACUUAGUUACGAGCUCAUCGGGACUCGGGAGAUGCCACGUGUACGGGCAUUUCUAAACCGGGCUUAACAUGACCAACUAAUGUGUCGAUGUGGUUCGACCUGAACAUGACCCGACCAACCUGUAAUUGUUUCUGGUUCGUAUAAAUUGAUCAACCCGACUUGAUCAACACUAGGUCAGUGAGCGACCAAUUUUGCAACCUUGAGCUCGUUUGCCCCUCUGGAGUGCAAGACCUGCGAGGUAUUUGGAUAUAUCUGAGCAAAACCCAAAUCCGAACUUGAUUUCGAGUAAAGCUAAUUACUGCUAGUUCAAACCCGAUACAAUUCAAUCAACUGAGUCGAUUCGAACCGACCGGCACAUGUUGGUUAGGUUUGAUUUGCUCUGGAUUCGUUCUAAUUUGUACAUGAUAACAGUUUGAGCUUUUGAAAUCACGAGUGUGUUUACGCUCUAGUAUUUUAGACGAGAAAAUUUGCUGUGAAGUUGUUACUAUUUGAUCAAUUUUUUUUUUAUCAAAAAUAGAUAAAGUCACAAACUAUGCUUAUUAAGUGAUACACGCCGCAGCAAAGGACCAUAGGAGAUGGUCCUUGAAUCAUAUCUACAGUUUAAGACUUAUGGUAAUAUCAAAUAGCAACUUUUAAAGGUAGUGGGAGAUAUAAACUUUAACAAAAUCACUAACUAUUUUCUCAAAAAAAAAAACAAAAUCACUAACUAAAUUCAAUAAAAUCUUUGUGGUAAUUAAUUGAUAAAAUUUAAAUAAAAACAAAAACUUAACAAAUAUUAACAAAAGUUUGGUAUCCUGGUUAAAAAAUAGCAUACAUGCAAUUGAGGGACCUCCAUGCAAUUUUUUUUUUUUUUUUGCCUAAUUAUUUUUGCUUAUACAGGGCACAAAAUGCGAGACUCAUGUACGUGGCAGUUGUAUUCGCGGCUCAUAAAAACGAAACCAAACGCCCAAUUAUAGAAAAGGGUGAAAAAGAUCAAAAAAAAUCCCCGAAAUUGGAAGUUUAAUCCCAUUUUAUUCGCGCCACCAAAACCUAUUUUCUCACCUCGUAAAGCUCAAGUUUUUUAUCCCCCUUUCCUCACACACUAAAAUAGGAAGAUCGAAGCAUCUACAAUGGCGUCCGAUCCUCCUCCUCCUUCUCCUCGCCAAGCUCGCGUUCCCAUGGCCUCGUCUCCAGGUGCUCAACGUUUCCCUUUUGUUUCCACUAUUCAUCGCAUCGUCGCCUGAAUCGCUUACGUUAUCCUUGUAUGAUUGAUCAAUUCGCAUGAUAUGUUUUGAUUAAAAAUUUAAGGUUCUAUGUCGUUUUAAUCAGAAUCCGUAUCUCUGACCUUGUUCUGAACUUCAUAUGAAGGCUUUGAUGAUUUAGUGUGAAUUUGGGUAGGUCAUAAACAACGAAUUGUAGUGCUCUAACCAACAUUUAUCAUGUAUAAAUCAUUUGAACUAUUUUUUACGCCCCUUUCCCUGGAAACUGCUAUUACUAUCGUUUGCUUUUAACUUUUAAAGUGCCAAGAAGCGAUUCCUCCGUCUAAAGUAGAUCCACGACUGGGACCUGAUGAGAACCUAAUGAAAUGUUACUUUGAGCUGUUGCCUUAAAAAGAGUAUUCUCUAGCAUUUGCAGAGGGCUAGGAUCUUAAAACAGAAAAAGUAGUAGAUCAUAUUUGAUACAAGCCUGUUUCAACCACUAAAUUUGGUGCUCACUCCCGUGAUUUACUUAAUUUGUAUUUUGUGUGUUUGUAAUUAUUUGAUUUUUACCGUUCUCUUCACUACCGCUGUCUUGUACAAUCGUACUGUAGUAGAUUUAGUUUCUCUUUUUUGUAUGAUACAGGUUCACUUUCAGAUAACAUUGCUCAAUUUUCGCUAGUUCCUAUUCAUAUUGUCACCAGUGCUUCUCAACUCCCACUUGAGUUUCUUGAACCCUCAGUUGACAAGCAGUUUGUGAUUGGACUUGAUUGUGAGGGUGUGGACCUUUGUCGUCAUGGUGCUCUUUGUGUAAUGCAGGUAAAGUAACAUGAAAUGUUUGGCUGAAAAUAGUUCACCAUUCGGUUGGAAUUUUUGUCGCCCCACAUUAUACUGCUGCGUCAAAGUUUUAAGUUUUUUUUGUAUCAAAUAUGCAUAUGAGUGCCUGGACAAUAAAAUCUGAACAUCAGAGUUCAUUAUUAGUUCCAUAUGUGUUCCUUACUAAUCUCGUUUUUUUUAUCAUUUCUCUUGUUGCCGUAAUUUUCAGCUUGCAUUUCCUGAUGCAAUAUACUUAGUUGAUGCUAUUGAGGGAGGGGAGGCUGUCAUGCGAGCCUGUAAACCUGCACUUGAGUCUAAUUACAUCACAAAAGUAAUUCAUGACUGCAAACGAGACAGUGAGGUUGGUAAUGAUUUAAUUGUUAUUGGAAAGGUUUUCAUGGGUAAUGCUUGAACCUUACACUUCUAUGCAGGCAUUGUUUUUUCAGUUUGGCAUUAAAUUGCACAAUGUUGUUGAUACACAGGUAAUUCUUGUUUUCUCAUGGUUUUGUUAAUAUAAUUAUUAUUCUUAUUUUAUUAUACAUGAGACAAUCCGAUGUUCCCAUUUAAUAGUCUUCAAAUGGUACUUUGGUGGAUCAAGUCAAUUAAUAUUCUACUUUUGUAUCUCGUUGGAGCUCUUAACUCGCAUGAGAUUAUACCAUUAUGAUAUGUUUUGAAAGAGUUAGGUCCUUCGGUUACUCUUCGAUUUUUGGAUACAACCGUCACUUUAAACUGUCCAUUCUAAAUGGGUGAGCUAUCAUGUGAUCCUCCCCAUUUUUUCUUCGAGUUAAUAACGAGAUUUGUGGUCGGAAUGUUUAAUUGUUCUUGUGCACGCAGAUAGCAUAUUCUCUGAUAGAGGAGCAGAAAGGAAGAAAGUGGGCACCUGAUGACUAUAUAUCAUUCGUUAGCCUUCUUGCCGAUCCUCAUUAUUGUGGUACUUUCAUGGCUUCAGAAUUUUUUUUGCUUCCUAUGAAUUUCUAUAUUUUGCUUCUCUGCAUAUGCCAGAAGAAUCGGGAGAGUGCAGUUGUUUAUUUCUGCUUGACAUUCUUGUAGCUUAUUACCGUGUUGCUAUACCAGUCUUUGUUUGAGGAUAACAGGAAUCCAUAUAUUGAUGAAAAUUUUUAGCUUAAGGUACACCAAAUCAAAUGGUGAUGUUAAAUUGACUAAAACGAUGAGUAGUUGCAUUUUAUACAAGACAUUUGCCGUCACAGAAUUUUUAUUUUAUUUUUUUUAAAAAAAUGGGAGUUGCUAAAACAUGAUAGUAAUUGAACUUAUGAGCAGCUGUGCUAAUGGCUAUGCAAUUGACAACCCUUCAAAUGCCUCGGUAGCCAUCAUGCUGAACCAUAUAUAUGCAAAGGCCUGAAACUAUAUAUAUGCAAAUUGUCAAAUAUUGUUCUGCAAGUUGAAACUGCAGUUAUAUUGCAUUUUAUUCAGAUUAUCUGUUAUUCAUUCUUUCCGGAAUCAGAGGAAAAACUUGACAUAUUUUUAUCAUACCAAAAAUUUGCCCCUUCCUGAUUCAGCUCCUGGUACUUCUUAUAUUUUUUAUCCUAAAAGGGAUGAUUCUAAAUGAUUCAGCAGCCAAUCACAAAUUUUAAUUCUCUCUGUAGUACAUCUAAAUGUAGUUUUAAAUCUCACUCGAAAUGUGUGAUUUCUCUGCUGUCGUUACUUGUUUCAUCACUUAAUCCUUGUUCAUCCUAACUUUAUGUAGAUCUAUAGCAGCUGUAUGGAAGAGUGAACCUCAAUUGUUUUCUGCAUCUUGAUGUUCAAUUGUUUGUAUGGCAUGAUAUACUGGUACUGCUUUAUGUAGGAAUAUCGUAUCUUGAAAAGGAAGAGGUGCGAGUUCUUCUAAGGCAGGUUAGCUUUUACAUGCUACCCUUUGUAUCUUGAAAUAGGCUGUCUACUUUGUAAGUAGUUAAUUGGUGCUAAUAAUUAUCUGUUUAUCUGAGUUUUUCUUAUUUAAAAUUCUUCACUUCUGUAAUUUGAACCCUUUUAUCAUUUACCGUCUGAAUUUUUCUUAUUUGAAGUCCACUUCUCAAAGUAGAAUCUUAUAUCCAUCACUUCGAUUGUUUUCACUUCAGAAUAAUGAUUGCAUUGAAAUACAUGUGUCUUGUUCCAAAUAAUAGAGACACUGUACCAUGAUCUCGUAAAGUAAUAUUUCUAUACUUUUAAUAAAUCAGGACCCUGCUUUUUGGACAUAUAGACCGCUGUCCGAGAUGAUGAUUCGAGCAGCUACAGAUGACGUGCGCUUUCUCCUCCACAUUUAUCAUAAAAUGAUUGAGAAGUUGACUAAAAGAUCCCUAUGGCUUCUCGCUGUUCGUAGUUCAUUGUACUGCAGGUGCUUCUGUGUUAAUGAUAAUGACUAUGCAGAUUGGCCUCCUCUUCCUCCUUUCCCUGGUAAAAGUCCAGUUCAUAUAGAAAGUUAUGAAUGCAAACUCCAGUCGAAUUUUAAAAGAGCUUCUCUAUGUAAAAUGUGGAUGUAUUUUGAGUUUACUAAUGUUAUAGCAGUAGGAUCAGAAAGACAACUCUAAAACAAAUAUAAUCAGAGCAUCAGAACAUACAUUUCUUAAGAUGCAUCUAAAAUGGGGUUUUUAUGCAUAGCUAUGUGAUAGUUGAACAAUAAGACCCCAAAAUGCUCUAAGUAUAUUUGUUUUGCGUUCAUGACCACAUAAAUGCUCAUAAGUCAAAUUAUAUCAAAGGUUUUCUUUAGUUCUCAGAACCAUUAUCAGCUGUUAAUAAAAACUACUAGACUUUCUAGAAAUGCAUCCUAGAAGAGGUUUCUUUUGCAUAGCAGUGUGACAAUUCCCAGAAGCUCGAAAUAAUCACCUGUUAAAGACAUGAAAUUAUUAUGGCUUCAAUGAUAAAUUUUCAGCACAAAAUGCAUGUGAAUAACUUUAGAUUCAAAACCUCUUGCCUGUCCUGAGGAAUUUCAGCACUUCUACAAUGUAUUUUAUUCGUCUGAGCAUAUUCAAAUGCCAAUCAAAUUUUUCUGAUGGAUUCCAUGAACAGAUGAUCUAGUCACUGAAGAUUAUGUUCCUGACAGAGAAAUUCUCUCGGUAUUAAAUGUUCCUCCUGGGAAAAUGGGACGAAUUAUUGGGAAAAAAGGAUCCUCCAUCAUGUCUGUAAAAGAAUCUUGCAAGUAAGUACUAUUUUCAUAUAUAUUCAUCAAAGGUUUUUUCUUUUGUGACAUUGAUCCUUUUUCUCUCAUGCUGCAGGGCAGAAAUUCAUAUAGGUGGUGCUAAGGGUCCUCCUGAUAGGGUAAGGUUUGCUACCUUAUUAAGCGAUUCAAAAGGCGAUUGGACUUCUUGAAAUGCUAGGUCUUAGUUUUUUCACUGAUGGAAUUUCAUGGCUCUCUAGAUAACAGCCAGCUCCUUUAGCUAAAUAUUCUUUCUUCUUCUUCUUCCUCCUAAUUUUGAGGCAAGCGAGCAUGGCUCGUGUAUUAAUAAAAUGGUAAAUACAAAACCUGUGAGAGAUCCCUCCAAAGGUUAUGAUAAAAUUUCAGCUAUUUAUAUACGAUAAUCUCAGACGCACUACAUUUAUCUCAGAAGCACAACGUCCUUGAGCCAAUCUCUACUAGAAUCUUUGCUAACUCUGAUGUUGAAAAGAAGUUAAAACAGAUUACAUUCAUGAGUUCUUGGUAAAUCUAGUACUUCUCUGUGUUGCCCAUUCACAGCUCCUGCACAGUGAUUAUUUGUUGUAUGUGCCGAAUUCUUCUGUACAAAUAUGUGCCGAAUGCAUCUGAAGGAUCAUAAUCUCUCUAAGUUUACAAGAGGAGAAGCUUAUGCAUAUAUCUUAAGGUUUUUUAUGUUCACAAUCACUACACUUACAUCUCGGUCGCACUUUCUAUGUAGGUUUUCAUCAUUGGGCCCGUGAAGGAGGUGCGAAAAGCCGAGGCAAUCCUUCGGGGUCGCAUGCUGGAUCUGUAGCAAGCCUUGGCGCGCCAUAAAAACUUCGUUAUAUGUUACUUGAAUCUAGAUUUUUACUUCCUGGACGUUUCCUAUAUAUAUAUGAGAUGUGUGGUGUGCGAAAACUUAAUGGUUUCUAAGUUAGCUGUGGUGACUCCUCGUUGGUUUUAUUGUGACUUUUCAUUCUGUUCAUAGGAUAAGUUAAACUGGGAAGUCAAAGCUCACAAUGAUUAUUAGCCUUGUUGCCACGUAUUUUUCUCUAUCUUUUACACAUAUUCUAUGACUCUGAUUAUGUUAUUAUUGGUGAGCACUCAAACCGGAUUUGGUUUACUAUCUAGGCUUCAAACUUGAGACCACGAAUAUCAAUUACAAAAUUUUUAGUUAUGAUUAGUGCUCAGAUUCAGAAGUUAUAAUGAAUGCUCAGUGUAAGAGGUCUAAUUUUUUUUUUCUUAAAAAAAAAAAAGCCUAUAGGCCAAUCUUUCUUCAAUUGGUGAGAAAUUGAAAUACCCGUCGAAAAUAUUUUAUGCGUUAAAUAUUUUUGAAUUGAUUAAAACUUUCUUAUCAACAAUUUCUCAAGUUUACCGACCGUCCCUAGAGCAAGUGGCAAAGGGCUUAGUGGUUGAUAUUCAAGACCCAAGUUCGAAUCCUAGUUGAUUCACAUUUUCAGCUAAGUUUAUUUCUAAAUAAAAUAAACGAAGCAGGUAGUGUGCUGCAUAUUUUUCGAAAAAAUAAUUUCUCAAGUUUAACUAUCUAAAUUAAAGUAUAAUCUAAACCGUUUAAGCAAUGAACGUUACUAUGCGAAAUCAAAUUUUAAAAUCUAUAUUUAACUUUUUAAAUUUAAAUUUAAAGUUUUAAAAGUUAAAAUUUAAAAUAUUAUAUUAAAAUUUAAAAUUUGACGCGUUGUUGAAUGUUGAAUUAAAGAAUGGUAGAAUUUUUUUCGUCGGGUUGGAGUGGAUAAUUAUUUUACUCUAAAACAUUGGUUUUUUUUUUGAGGUUUGUAAACAUAUCAUAGGAUAAUUUUUCUAUAUGUACACCAUAAUUUAACUGUAUAACCUUUUAUAGUGUAUCCAAAUGAGCCCUAAUUCUAUCUCUUUAGACCAAAUAUCGAUCCAAUCUAUAUGGCGACGUGCCACUUUCUCUCUCUUUCGUUCUUGUGUUUGUUUAAGACAUGCAUACUUUUAUCACUUUUCUCUUAUUCAACCGUUAUUAUUUAAAAGUUACUGUCUGAUACAUUUAUACAUUUCGAGUAAGACAUUCUACUUUUUGACCCUUUUUUUUUCCCUAAUUUUGUUUCCUUGUUCUUGUUUUUUGUACUCUGUUUGUUGGGCCGAAAUUGGAAAAAAAAAAAUUUUAGGCACUUAACUGAAAAUUAGCGAGGCCUAAUUUCUUCUUAGGUACGUUAACUUUUCGGAUCCCACCUAACGCAUUGUCUCUCAAACCUGAGCCUCAUAUUUUUAACCACGUCGAUUGCGCUCUAUGUAACUCUUCUCCUCACCCCUUUUCCUUUUCCCCUUAUUAUUAUUAUUUUUUAAAAGAUCCUUAUUAUUAUUAUUAUUAUUUUUUGGUUCCUACUCAUCUCGAAUCCUGUUUCUACAAAUUGUCCGUUUUGUAAACGAAAUAUUACAAAUAUUGGUCUAAUAUAUACAAAUAUUUUUAACUUAGAGAUCUGCUGCUGUACUUAAUAGAAGAAGAUUAGUUAGAUUGAUUGUAUCAAAACCUUUAAUUAGCAUGGGCAGAAAAAUAAUUAUACUAUAAUUCUUUUUAUUUGAGAGGGAGAUAGCAGACUAUGUUUAUUUUUUAAAAAAAAUCUAGUUAGAGAUAUAAAAUAAUUAAGCUUUUUAAACUUAAAAUCUCGGAUAUUAAAUAUCAAAAUGCCCAAUUUCAAAGUUUCUUUGCUCAAAACUAAUCUCAUCCAAGAUUCCAAAUCCGCUCAUAUUAAUUACGAAGAAACAAAUAUCUAGUUUCAAGAUAUCUUUUUCUCCUCUUUGGUUUUUUAAUUUUCCUUUUAGCUUCUUUUAAUUCCCUUCUCCAAACCGACCCGACAAUUCAUUUAUGACAACAUCAUUUCCCAAAAAAAUAAAAAUAGGAAAAAGUAAAGCUCUCCCAAAUCAUUUGAGGAAACCCUAGAACAAGCCCAAUGUGCUGUGGUCCCCAUUUCAUCAGCACUUUUUUGCCCUUUUUCUCCCUAUUUUAUUGUUAUUUUUAUUUUUUUAAAAACUUUUAUUAUGGAUUUUUUUUUUUAUUAUUAUUUUUUUUUAUUUUCUCCCCGUUCUGUGGAUGAGGAUCCGUGGUGGCAUCCCAAAUCCAAAGCGAGCCUCCCUUUCUCCCUUUCCCCGAAUCUAUUCCUCUUUUGUUUCCUUCUCCACCUCCUCACUCUCUCUCGAGAUAUUAUUAUUUGCCCUGUACCUCCUCCUCUCUCCGAUCCCUCCUCUCCUCUCCUCUCCUCUCCUCUCCCCCAAAUCCUCUCCCAAUCGCCGAUUCUCUCCGGAAACCACCAAUUCCAGCUGAGAUUCGCCCCCUUCUCCUCCAAAGCUCCGAUUUUGAUUCCCGACGAGCUCUCUUUCUAGGGAUUUUGCGCCGAUUAUUGGGGAUUUUUUUUCGCCUUUUCGAUCCUGUGUUUUGAUGAAAGGGGGGAACGAGGAGGAGAAGAGUAGUAGCAGUGCGGGGCCCCUGUUUCCGCGGCUCCACGUGAACGACGCGGACAAAGGAGGAGGCCCCCGGGCGCCGCCGAGGAACAAGAUGGCGCUCUACGAGCAGUUUAGCAUACCUUCUCAGAGGUUCAAUUCGCAGGCCUCGGCUUUGCCCCUUCCCCCGCACGCCACCACCACCAGCGCCGUCCCUUCCACUUCGGCGACCCAGGUCGCUUCAUCUCUUGUCAUGUUCCUAGCUCAAAUUUCAUGCCUUUUCCGAGUAAUUUUGUGUGUGAAAUGGUGGUGAUGCAAUUCAUGUGCGUUGAUUCCAUUGUAGUGGUGAUGAGAUUUUACUGUUGGUGUAUCUAAUUCCUUAAUUCGCCGCGCGGCGCGAAUCAAAAUGUCUCCCAUCAUGGUAUUUUAGGCCCUCUUAGGAUCUAAGAGUCCUGUAUAUUGCUAUGUAGGUUGUAACUAUAUACUUUUCUUCAGGUUUUAUUUUCGGAGGGGCGAACUGUGAAUUUAUUUGCGAUUUGUCAGAUUCCCUUCAUCUAUCUUAACUCUAAACUUACUAAUCUAGUCUGUGGACCGGACAUUUUCGGCGCCUCAUUUAUGUCACUUGAUGCUUUCAUGAAAAUAGCACUCAUAGCGGUUCUUCGUAAUCAAUUUGGAUAUUACACUUCUUUUUUUAUGUGAAGACACAUCUUCAUGAUUCAAUUUAGCACCAGCCAAGUGAUCUUGAUUCAGUCUAGCUUAGUUGGGAUCGAGUCCUCUUUUGUCUAGUUUUAAGUGGUUUUAACAUUAGUAUAGGAAUAUUCAUGGUGGACUUUUACUGGGAUCAUAUCUUCUUUUUUUUUUUUAAUAGGCCCUCAGCCUUAUUUUCUAUCUGUUCUUUUCUAUCUGUUCUUUCUUUUUAACUUAUCCCAUUCUCCUAAUCCUUUAUUAUUCGAUCUAUCCUAUCUAAUUUCUUUCCCUUUUCACCAUUACUUACUUCUUCACUUAUUGUGAUCGUGUUGUUCUACCUUUUCUGCCUGCUAUGCUGCUACAAUUCAUGUUGCCCUAGAUAUGAUUCACAUGAUUCACGUUAAGGAUGACUACGUUUCUCAUUGUCUAUCUGCUGUAAUUUGAGUAGAUUUAUCUUUUCCGUUCCGAUACAUGCUUUGUGUGGUUGCAACCCUUUUUCUACUUUUACAUAUUCUGAAUUAUUAUGCUAAGAUACACUCUAUUGCCUACAGGGUUUUGCCCAUGAAAGGAGCCUUUUUGCUUCGUAUUUUGUACCUUCUCAUACACCCAUUCACUCUUCUGAGAGGAUGAAUUGCCCGUCGUCCAAUGGGGUCAAUGCUAGUACCAUAAAAACAGAUUCGGAAAGGCGGUCUACGAAACAGUUGACCAAGGGGAUGAACACUGGAGGAUCAGUUGCUGAAUGUAGUGCACUAGGUAUAAAGGAAACAAAUGUGAAAAGUUCUUGUGGGAAGAAGUUGGGUGAUGAAGAUGAUUUUAGGGUUCCUACCUUUGUUCGAUCAGGGGUUUCUCCGCACUCGAAAAAGGAUGGUUUAAUGAGGCAAGAAAAACUGACGCCUUUUGAUGCCGGAAAUCCAAAGAAAAGUUGCCCAAGUUCUAACGGCAAGCACUUGGAAGAAAAUAACAACUCUGAAGUGAAUUCAAGAAAAGAAGCUAAUGGAAAAUCCUCAUCAAAUCAAGAAUCUAGAGAAAAAUUAGGGAAACCAUCCCCAGUUAACAAAGUUUCUAUAGAUAAGGACCGCACAAGUAUUGUAAACUCUUUUGGGAAAUCUCGAAAUGGAAGGGAAGAGAUGUAUCGGGAAUCUUGUGGUAAUGGAGGUACUACAAGGAUGAAAAUGGGGCCACGUUCUCUGUCGAAUAUAAGGAAUAUUAGUAGGAAUUCAAAUCUGGGUGAUGAUUGCUUUAGAGAAGGUGAUGAUAAUAACGAGAAUCGGCCAUUGGAAUUGAAAGAUGCAGAACAAAAUGAUGAAUUAUCUGAGUCUUCGAUGGUGGAAUCUUUGUCAGGGUUGGAAGUAUCUCCAGAUGAUGUUGUUGGGGUAAUUGGUCCAAAACAUUUCUGGAAAGCGAGAAGAGCUAUAGUCAAGUAAGCUUCAUACUGUUUUUGUUUAUUUACUUUUUGCGUAUUUUCAUCCCAAACUAUUACAGUGGCUAUCCUGUUUUUGUUGAGAAUUAUUUCGGCUUCGAUUUCACGGUGUCUUUAGUUUGUGUGAAGCCUAGAGUUUCAAGUUACAAUUUUUGAACUUGGUACUUCAUGCAUCAGAUUUAUUUGAAAAAUCAACUUUUAUUCAAACUUCAAUUUUUCUUUUCAGAUGAACGAGGGAUGAUAAAAAUAUAGAUUGAGAUAUUUAUGGAAUAAGCUAGCUGAUUUACCCGGCUAACAGUUUAACCAUUUUAUUAUUGACACGAAUACUGCUUUAAUUUAAUUCCCAAAUUCCACCCUUUUAUUUACUUUCUCUUCUUGUAACAUCAAUCACAUUAAAAUAAUUGAAAUACUAUCACUUCCCCUUUACCUGCUAACUAAUAGCUAUUUUACCUGUGCUGUGCUAGUUCCGCUCUCUAUUCUUGGUUUUUCUGAAUAUUUUGCUUUACAGUCAGCAGAGGGUUUUCGCGGUCCAAGUGUUCGAGCUUCAUAGAUUGAUUAAAGUAAGCCACCCUCUAAACCAAUUUCUUUAAUAGAAAACAAAUUUAAAUUUUGAAAAAUGACUUGAACCUAAGUUAGAGUUUACUUGAUAAUAAACAGGUCCAGAAGUUGAUUGCAGCAUCGCCACAUCUACUUCUUGAAGCCAAUCCUUAUCUGAAGAAAUCUUCACCGCCCACUAAGAACCUCCCAGCUGAAUCUAAUGCAAAAUCUCAGCCACAAUCAGCUAAACAGAAGGAUCAUGUACACAGGCCCAAGCAGAGAACGGAGGAAUGCUCGAAAGAUAACACAGAAGGAAACCAACCUCUCCCAUCUCAUGAAAACGGAGGCGACAGCAAUGCUCCUCAUCAGGUUCUAUCAAACGGACCCAGUAUUGAGAACAAACCUAAUGCUUGGUGUCUUCACCCGCCUCCAAACCAGUGGUUAAUCCCUGUCAUGUCCCCUUCGGAAGGGCUUAUUUAUAAACCCUAUAGCGGACCGUGCCCACCAGCUGGUAGCAUUAUGGCCCCUCUAUAUCCAAGCUGCCCUCCUUUAAGCCAGCCUUCUUCUGCAGGCGACUUCAUGAAUUCGCCUUUUAACGGAGCUCCUGCUUUGCCCACAAACUAUUUUCCACCUUUUGGGUGGGUUAAUGGGGAAGCCAAGCAACACUCUAUUAGCUCAUCUAACAUGUCGCAGUUAAACAGCGACGCUUUUUCUGGCUAUCUCUGGAAAUUUCACGCGUCGAAGGAGAGUGAGAUACAAGGGAGCACCGCGAGUAGUCCCUGCAAGAAAGCAGAAAGAGAUGGGAGGGAUGCGUUGCCGCUCUUUCCUAUGGCUCCAGCUGCCAACGAAAGCGCUUCCCAGAAAAGCCCUUCUCGCUCCGCAGAUAGUAGAAGGGGUAACCCAGCACGGGUAAUCAAGGUUGUUCCUCACAAUGCCAGGUCGGCGAGCGCGUCGGCGGCACGGAUUUUCAGGUCGAUUCAGGAGGAGAGGCAUCAGUGCGAGCCAUGACUUUCUAUCUCUCCCGGAAUUUUGCUUCUGGAUUUGGGCGCAUAAUCUGAGCCAUCGAUCUCUUACGACCUACGAAACCAGAGGGAAGAGUGGCUGAGAUUCAGCCUCCGCUUCUCCUUUGCUGGUGCGCUCACCGCCCGAGCUUUAUCUCGUCUUCGUAGCAAGUAUUACUGAGCUAUGUUGGUUGUUAGUACAUGUAUCUGUUCUGAUCUCUUUGUUGUUGGCCUGUAAAUAAUAAUUCUCAGCAUUUAGCAAUAUUUUGGAUUUUGGCAAAGUUUGUUGUAACCUCCAAAUUGUAUGUCAAGUGGAAUUAUGUAUUCUAUAGCCCGACAGAUUUGAUUCUAAUACAAGUAUUUUGAGUACGAGAGUGUACAAACUUAUUGUGAUAGUAAAGAUUAUUACGCACCGCCUACUUUCUGUGGGUUUACUUGCAUUUAAAAUUUUUANGGGAUAGGGAUAGGAAUAGUCCCCCUUUAUACAGAAUAGUAGUUCUCGAUUAUCCCCACCAACACCUCUAUUUUUUAUAUAAAACUAUAUAAAAUUGUUGGAAACAACCCAAUUUUCAUCCAAACCCUAUUUUUCUUAUCCCCAUACUUGUACCUAUCUCUGUAAUAGUUAGUUCUUACUUAUACCCGAACUAAACGGUACCUUAAUAAUAAUUUAAAUGCAUGGUUGGUCCACGGGUGAUGAUGUGGUGGACCGGGUCCAUGCGAAAAAAAAUGUUCUCCCGCUUCCUUUCGCUCUUCAAACAAACACCCGAUGGGAUCGAAACCUCAUCUCCCUAUAAAUUGAGGUGGGAGGCGAACCCCCUCUCCUCCUCUUCCCCGCACACAACCCCUCUCUCAGUUUCAAAUUCUUUCCCCAUCUCGUUUCCUUGCUCGCGAAGCCGCCGCCAUGAGAGGAGCCGCGGAGGAGAUCACCUUGGAGAGGGAGGAGCCCAAGGACGAGCCUCGGCGAGCCCUGGAGCAGGGGAUCCUGCGCAUCGGCGACCGCCUACGGGAGAGCCUCGUCGACGUCACCUGCGCCUACUGGGACGACGACGAGGGCGUCGUCCGCGACUGGGUCCGCUCCACGCGCCGCGACCACCGCAGGCGCCCCGGCCCCCUCGUCGCCGGCCUCGUCGCCUUCCGCGGCCUCCCCCUCGGCUCCUUUCCCUGCUCCGUCAAGGGCCCCCGAUCCCACCCCUCCCACCCCUCCCACCCCUACCGCGCCAUCGCCCUCUGCCUCGGCGGCUCCCGCGUCCUCUUCUACCAGGAAGGGAGCUGGCACCGCCGCCGCAAAUCCCCGAAGAUCGCCGCGCUCCGCGAGCUCCUCGCCGAUCGGGAGCUGAGCGUGGUGGGGAUCGGGAUGAAGAGUGCGGCGGCGAAGCUGGAGGCGGAGUGGGGGCUCCGCGUGGAGCGCCCGAUCGAGCUCCGCACGGCGGCGUCGCGGGCGUUCGGGAAGGAGGCGGUGUGGAUCCCGAAGCACGUGAGGGGGGCGAUCGCCAUCGAGGGUCUGGAGCUGGAGAAGCUGGCGACGCUGGUGCUGGAGGGGACGAGGGUGGAGGAGAAGCCGCGGGGGAUCGUUGACAGCGACUACGGCGCAAACAACCUCACCGACGAGCAGAUCAUGUACGCAGCGCGCGACGCCUACCUCCACUUCGAGAUCGGGCUCAAGUGCCUCCGCAUGAUCGGAUUCCCCACCUAAACCCUGAUCUCUCUAGGUACGCACCAAUCGAAUUGAAUCGUCUUCUUGGACUGAUUACUACUCCCUUCGUUCCAAUUCUUCUUCUUCUUCUUCUUCUUCUUCUUCUUCUUCUUUUUCUCUUUGUCGAAUUUUCGUGCGAUCGUUCAUAACUCGUAAAACUUCGGAAAUUUUUUUUUUCUUCUUCGGACAUCAAACGAAGAAGGUGGGCACAAUUCCCGCCAAAUUCUUCCUGUGGCCGAGUUCUGGGACCAAAUUCUUCGGGUUAUGGGCUCACGGCCCAUUCCAGAACAAUCCAGUCCAGUUGACCCAAUUUUUACAGGCCAAGUUGGGGCCUCUGAAAUUUAGGCCGGAGUAAUCAUUUCUUUAAUUGACCCAGCCUGGUGGUUAUUUUGGACCAUAGUUUGUCCCAAUAUGUAGCUUAAAGAGUAUCAUAUGAUAUGAUUUUGAGAAUAAUCUUUUUAAGCUUUCCGUCGUAGUUUUCUUUUACCCCCUCACCAAAACAAGCUUUUUUUUCCCCCCCUAAACUCCAUUUUCUGACAAUGAUUCACACCAUUCUUUGCGAGCUUGUGGAAUUUGUUUUUCUCAAUGAAAUAGACAUUCCCUCCAAUUCUUCAUCAUUCACAGACAAUUUGGCUACAAAGGGGAAAAAAAAUGAUCGACUCCAUUGCCGACGCUACAUUUUCAAAAUCCUGUUUGCAUUCCCCGUCCAACUAGGGUCAGCAUGAAACAGAGAAACAGAGAGCAUGCCACAACGCAUUUACUAUACAAGUGCUAAGUCAAGUAACACGAUUCAACUCGCAAGUUGCAGUAUCUUCAACACUAGUUAAUUCACAUCUCUGACCUGUCACUCAGUAGGAUCAUAAUUGCAUCCCCCAAAACAAAAUUUGCCACUUGAUCAGACAAAACAUGGUUUGCCUAACCACUCUACAUAACAGAAAUAGCAAAACAAUCUCCACAUUCUCCGCCGUCUAAUAAUCACUCCUGUAGAUUCAUGUAUUAAAUUAAAUGGUUAUCCAAACCACUCCCUCCUUACACGUUGAUCUGUUACAGAGAUAUAAGCAAUGGCGAAGAAAAGAAAAACAAGCAGUAGCAAUAUUACUUGAGGCAGCAUUUAGACAGUCACAGCACUUUCAGCUCACAAUCACUCAAGCCUCCAUUUUGCUAGCAAUAUCAUGUAAAGCCAGCUUGCUUAAUGGUAUGAAAAGAUCGGCCUAGUCACAGCACUGAGAUUUUCAUUCAACUACCAUUAGACUAAUCAAUCCCCACUAACAUUCACAGCAACUGACUUUCUGUUACUUGGAAGUUGGAAGUUCAUCCCUGAUUAGUCACUAGUAACAAACUGUAAAAGAAUUUCCAAAAACUGUUUCCAUCAAAUUCUAUAGGCUUGUUUCAAUGCAGUAGGGGGGAAAGGGUAGCCCUAUCACUGGGAUACUCCCAUACCACACUAGUGUGGACCACGAUAGAGCUUGCCAAACACAUGGAGAAGGGAGACAACAGCUAUGAACCCGAUGCUCAUUAUAAGGAUGAUAUUGGGUGACAUCUUGCGCCCUGCAGUCUCAUCAGUGUAGAACUGAAGCAUUGUACUCGCACCUCCUCCUGCACCACUGCCAACCCCAGCAGCUCUCCGCCGGCGCAAGCUUGCGGCCGCUGCCGCACUGCCUAUGGGCGGUGCUUCACUGUUUGCAACCAUCUUGCUUUGUCUGUAUAGAAAAGCAAAAGACUUGUAAGGAAUGAGAUAAUCACAGAGAAACGAUGUUCAUAGAAAUGGGGGUUUCUCCAAUCUAGUAGAGAGAGAGAGAGAGAGAGAGAGAGAGAGCGCCGACAGUUAGAAAGAAUGCCAAAUAACAUGCUAAUUGCUAAUGUGCUACUAGCUUUCAAAGAAGGUAAAGGAAAAGGACUCAUAAGUUGUAAAUGCAAGAUGAGGGAAACAUUUAAAGCAUGAAUAAGAAACAAUAUAAUCAUAUACUUACAAAACAGUGAAAUGUUCUGAAGCCAAAGUGAAAUAGCUGCGUGGAGCAGUGUUUGAAAAGGCGUGAGGCGCAAAAAGGCGCACGACUCUCCUGGGGCCUAGGCGCGAGGCGCACUGCGAGGCGCGCGCCUCAAGAAGGCGAGGCGCACAGUAAUUUAAUUUGAUAUUCUACAUUAAAAAAACUCCAAAAUAACUAUACAAAACUAAAAUAACUAUAAAAAAGUAAAGAAAACACAUGCAUAUAGGUACUCAAGUUAAAAAAAAUAUAUUUCGACUUUCAACUUAAAAGUGAUUGUGGUGCCAAUGUUUUCAUUUGGCCUCAAGAAGGAGAAGAGGGCGGUAAAAGAAGAGAGUGGUAGGAGGAGAGGGCAGUAGAUGGAUUUCAUUAGGGUUUUUUUAGGUUUCUUUUAGAUUCCUUUACUAAUCUUAUCGGGCUAAAACAUANGGUAAAUUAUUGACAUUUGGUUGAUGCUGCCAUACUGUACCAGCAAUGCAUUACUAUUUUAUCAGAAUCUCGAAGUGGAAGAGCCAACAAACAAUUUUUCCAGCUAAAUUUGUGAGAAGAAUGAGACACAGCGAAUGGACUGCUAGUGUGAAACAAUGAGUACUUGAUAUAAACCAUGAUUAAAGCAAUGAGUUACAAAGAAAAAGCAAAAAUAAUCAAAAAAAUAUUAUAGCAAAUCAAACUACACACUACAAAAAACCACCAGAAAAAUUGUCCUUGCAUGCUCACCAUAUAAAAUUACAAAGAUAUGCCAUCCCGUAAACUUUAUUAAUGCCGGAGAACAUGAGUAAAAAUUAUGAGCAAGCUAAGAGGCCAAGAUAUUGAAUUUUUGCACCAGAUCAUUACAGGAGGGGUUAUUUUCAAAACACCCUUUCUGAUUGUAAAGGAUUUGGACAAGAUACAAUUAAUAUUUGUUAGUUCCCUACUAUAAUGCUUGAAAAAGAAUCUAUACCAAUUCCCUGGUAUCAAUUCACCCAUGCCGAUCAUGCUCCAUCAACGUUAGGUCCUCUUAACAACCAGUGUCCAAUGACAUCAAACCACACUCAAUUUUUCGCCUUAAAGGCAUGCAGAUCUAACAACUAAGGAACUAAAAUUCAAAUUGGUCCAAACAAGAUGAACAGGAUGAAAAUGCUAUGCAAAAAACUUACGAAAAACAAACUCAAUUAUACUACACAUCUCAAAUUCUGAUGUAUAAUCAUAAAUCUAAGGUGCUUCGCUGGCGAUCUCGCUAUGCGAUCGAUUUCGGAGCAUUUUAUACCAAUAAAAUCAAAUAAAAAACGAUGUACUUAGGCUUGGCGACAAAUCAAAGACCAGAUCUAUGAAGAAGCACGGAACAUUGAAGAAAUGAGGAGAAGUUAAUGGUCCGAUCUAUGACCAGAGACCAGAUGCAGCACCGAUUCUAGCGAUAGUAAUAAGAUUGGGGCGUUACGGAUUCGAUCUACGACUACGAACCCUAACUAGGGCAAAGGAUGAGGGGGAUCGAGAUCGAGAUAGGAGAAGGAAUGAUAGAGAGCGUACCUUCGAAUCGAUACCGCGGCGGAGCUUCUCGAGGAGAGAUCGCACGACUCGACGAAGAAGCAGCUUUAAUACAUAGUUGCGUGGACCAGUUCUACCUCGUCGCCUGUGAACCGCACCAGUUAAACUAAAGAUAUUGUUUCCUGCGCCAGGCUUAUCCGUGGCCUUUUUGCAAUGAUCAAAUCUGCUAUAGUGCACUCAUUUGAUAAAUAUAUAAUUAAAUUUUGAAUAUGAAAUAUUCAAAAUAUAAAUAUACAAAAUUUUGUAUAUUCAGCCAAAUAUAUAUUUUACAUAGACAAAUUGUCCUAAAAUAAAAUAAAACAAUGAACAAAAAAAAUCUCAGCACGGACCGGGUCUACCGGCUACAAACUGGCGCUCCUGAGUUUGGACCCGGUUCAGCGUUUCACGACAUUUCAUUUCAUAUCAGUUCACUCGCAUUCCGAGGGACAGUGUUCUUAUCAGCCUCAGCAUCGCUUUUUUUUUUUUUUUUUUUUUUUUUUUUUUUUUUUUAAUAUGCAGAGGAGUGGAGCUACUACAUAUAUUAUAGUCCUCCUCUCUCUUCCCGUCCGAUCAUUUUUUCUUUUCCACCGAGGGGCGUAGCGUGGAGCUUCCCCUCUUCCCCCUUCUUCCCCAACCCUAACCCUAGCCCUAAUUCGUGCCCUUAAUUCUCGCCGCGGAGGAGAUGGUGUUCUACAUGCUCUACUUCACGGCGGAGCUCGAGAACCUCACCGAUCUCCAACCUCGCGGAGGCUGCGACGACCCCAGCUUCACCUACAACUUCAAGGUUCGUGCAUCGAAUCGAUUCCUUCUUCUUCCUCCCUUUUUUUCCCCCUCCGUUCUCGAUCGGAUUCGCAGUGUUUCCUCACAGUCUCGGGGGCUCCGUACAGGUCAAAUGCGAGAACUGCGGCGAGGUUAGCCAGAAGGCGACGUGGGUGACGCUCUCCGAAUCGGUCCCUCUCCCCACUGGUAGGGGGACCGCGAAUCUCGUUCAAAAGGUGCGUGCGAUUCAUCUUCUGAUGCGCGAUCGUGCUCUGUUUAAGCUUGUAAUUUCGAAUUGUUUGUGAUCCUUCCUUCUGUAUGAUCCGAUAACGCAAUGCGAGGAACGACUGGUCACAAACCUUUUGAUGGCUACUUUAGGUAGAUCAUAUUGUAUAUAUCACCUAUGACUAUGUUGUAGGCUUAUUUUGCAUGCUGAGGUUGUUGAAACCAUUGUUGAGGAUGCUGGAUGCAGUAUACCCAAAGAAACUUUGUUGUUGGGAGAAUCAUUCUAUUUCCGUUUUCCAUCUUUUCUUUCUUAGUAUUUGGCUAGAAUUAUGUGCGCAUCUAGGAUUUGUGGUGAUGUCUUACAAGUGCUCCCUUGCUUUGAUGAAAGCAGCCUUGCUUUUGAGAGUGGAGGUGCUCUUUUUGUAGAGAAAGAUAUGAUAUGGACUCCUACACUUUCCCAUUGGCUUAGUGUAUUAAAUUAAAGUGUUUUGUUAUUGUGCAUCCAUCUGCGAGUGGAACUUUUAAUAAUGUCUAAUGGGUACCCACACUUUCCGUUGUCUAUGGGCAUUCUUUCGUCUGAGUGGGAAGCAUGAUAAUGAGCGUAUAGUUCCAACUUUUAAGAGGAGAAGCUUUUUGACUGCGGAGUAGUUUCCAUGUGUUAAUUCUGCAUUUUCUCUUAACUAGGUUUUGUUUAAAAUUUCACCAAUAAACAUCUUUGAGGGAUAAUUGUCUAAAACUAAAUUGAACUCCAAUGAAAUGCAAAGUUUCACAUAGUUGUAAGUCAAAGAAUCGUAUGGUCAUGUAGACAAAUAAGAUAUUCAGGUGUUUUAGACGUAGUUUCUGAUUCUUUAGGGAUGUGUUACCCGUGUUCCUUCAUUUUCAUUAUGUUAGGACUAUGCUACUAGUAAUUUGAUAGUGUGAGUUUCAUUGAAAGAUAUUUGUAAUUUCAUGUCUUUUUAUAUUUUUUGUUGCAUUUUUCCCCUUGAUCUUUAAAAGUGGAUAAUAAAAUUUUCAAUUCAUUUUGUUUGACAGCUUUUUAGAAAGAAAAUUUGUUAGCCAACAAUUAGUACUAACUGAAAGUGACACGUUUUUUCUUAGUGCAAAUUAUGUGGAAGGGACGGAACAAUUCAGAUGGUUCCUGGGCAUGGGCAGCCAUUGACUCUUGGGCAAAGUCAGUCAGGAGCAACUGCUGGUUUGAUGGUUUUUGACUGCAGGGGUUUUGAACCUGUUGAGUUUUCUUUUGAUGAUGGAUGGAAAGCUGAAUCCGUGAGUAUUUCUAGUUUCUUAUUGUGUAAUCUCAUUUUCUUUGUUUUAUUGAUAACAAACUCCUGCUUAUAUUCUCAACAGUUAUUAUUUUUUUUAUAUAGUGGGUUCUUGUUCAGCCAUCAAUCUCUUUUGUGUAACUAAUGUUUAUAUGCAAUGAUGCUUAUAAUUUAGAUUUUUUUUAUGCAGCUAGUAUUAACAAUUGCCUUUCAAUGAAUGACAUUAAUGAACCUUAAUAAUCAUUUAGCAAAAAAGCUUGUCUGCACACUAGAGCAGGAAGACAAAUCCACCUAUUCUUUUUAUCAGAUUGCUCUUUUAUUUUGUCUCUUUGUAUCAUAAAGUUUGCCGCUUUCUAUUUCCCUGUUAUCCUUGAUAUCCUUUUAUAACUUUUAGGAGCUCCUCUUUCUAUAAGAUUCAUGCAGCUCAGAAUUGAUGUACUCGUAAACAACACUAAGAUAUCUGUGAGGUGACUUAUCAUUUACUAAGAAAGUGGUACUCGGAAACAUCUUCGUAUGCUCUUUACCAACCAACCAACUACUAAAUGCUACCUGACUGUGCAAAAAGAGAUAUGCUAGACAAGCUAUACCAGUCUUGAUAACUCUUGCAAGUGAGAUGUUUGUGUAUCUUUAAACUGUUAUUAUGCGUUUCAUCUUCUGCUCCUGAAUUCAUGGUAUAUUGUACUUGCUUAUCAUUUUCACAUUUUUCUCUAGACGAGCGGCACUUGGUAUGACAUCGAUUUAUCCGAAGGUGAAUUUGUUGAAUAUGACGAGAAGGGAGAGUGCCCAGUUGGUGUGACCAAUCUCCAGUCACUGUUCAAAGUGGUAAGCAUGAGAUUGUGGAUGGUUGGGACAUAAAUUCAUGAUAUUUUUAGUUAGUCAGAUCAGUUGAUAUGUAUGCAUAAAUGCAGGUGAAGAAGCAAGAGCGGGGUGGUGGUAAGACAGUAUAUGCCUGAUUUCAGUACUUCUUCAGACACUUUGAAAUUCGGGUGAUGUAUACAACAGCAGCUAAGUUGAUGUAAAUUUAAGACCUUUUACUGUUUUUAUGGCUCUACUAAGUUCACCUUCCUAUAAACUGCUGAUGACACCCUGGUGACAUCGUUUCUUUGUUGAUGAGCUGUUAUGCUAAUGAUUUUUUCAUUCUGAGAUGGUCUUCACACUAUUACCAUCUUCUUGGCUCGAAAAUUUUAAUGGCUUUCGCAUGUUAAUUUUUCAAUUUCAUGGUUGUGAUGCAUGGUAUGAGCUCAUUGCCUGUAAUUACGACAUUGAUUUGCAUGGUAACUUCUAGGUCAUAAACUAGUGAAGUUAAUAUAUGAGGAUGCUGACCAUUAGGUUAUUGGUAAGAAAACUGGGAUCAGACUGCAUAACCUUUUGCAGUAUCUGGAAUCUUCCUGUUUUUCAUUUCAUUCAUUGUCCUUCUCUUCUUCUUCUUCUCUUUUUGCCCCAAUCCUUUGCUCUAAUUUAGUGGUGCUCGUGGGAGGUUUGAUCCAUUAGAAAUUUCAGUGAAGAGGCUGUAUAAGUUGCAUCAUCCAUCGGUGCAUGUUGCAUUUCUGAUUCAUUAAAGGCUGUUGUUUUAGAUUUUGACUGCUCCUUGGUUUGGAAUUUCGGAGAAAAUGACUAUGAAAGGAUCUGACCUAUUGCUUGUGCUUUUGGUUUUUCUUAAAAGAUUUGAUAAAUCGUCUUAUUAUAACCAUGAUCAGUCAAAUAUUAGGGCAAACUGAAGAGGCUCUAAAGAGUACAUUUUCUUGUAUUUUCUGUUAGCAAAAUCAUUUUAAUAAUUCUUUGAAGUCAAGAAUUGACGAGAUAACAAUCCAUCUAGAAGGUACCUUCCCUUUGAUCAUUUUUGUGUUCCAACUUCCAAGCAUCGUUUGAACUUCCUACAGCCUCAAAAGGGCUGGAAACAAUUUCCAAGCCUAGACGACGUAAAAAGUUUAAUAACUUCACGCGGAGGUGGUAGCGGAAGACUUGCAAGAGCUACGCAGGCAUUCAAUAAUGCGUACGUAAUGGCGUCGUGUAUGCGUAUGCGCCGGACACAAAAACAGUUUUGCGUUUCUCGUGGACUUGCUGUUCCUUCCCCGAGCUCCGUUCCUUAGGCUUGCGGUCAACGUCCCAUGUGCAUUUAUUAUCGCAACCCCGAUUGCAGUCCACGUCCCCCAUUAAUUUAUAUAUAUUAUAUAUAUACAACAUCGCAGACGUAACCAUAGACCAAGGGCAAAAAUAGUAAAGAUGAGACAAUAUUAAGAGAAUUAUUCAAAGUUUCCAACCUCCUCUUCGAUAUGUGUCUCAUUCCACACACACAGACAAGAGCACGGUACAAACCUAUAAAUUCACUUUCUAUUAUCCAACUGCAAUUCGCUUAGCCAUCUCAAGAUAACUCAACUCAGAUACAAUUCUAACACUCAGAUUCAAUGCGACAAGUAGACACAAUUUUGUCUCAAAAAAAAAAAAAAAACCCAAGUAGACGCCAUUGUGUGUUUGUUUUUCCCAUGGCCACAAACAAAGAAGAAACUUCAGAUACAGCCAAGACAGAAAAUCAAAGAGUCAAAUAUACAGCACUCAUUUUUUUUCGCAUUCAAACCAGAUAAGAAUAGAACAGAGGGGACAUACAAAGGUUGUAAGUUCUCUCGGAUCCAUAGCCGAAUAUUCAGUGCGCAAAUUUGAAAUAUAGAAUAAUUAGGAUCGCCAAAACCAGAGCUAUGAUGAUUCCACCGAUGAUCCACUUGUUUCUGUCCAUUCUUUUCGACAUGGCUGAUAGGAUCCUUUUGCUCUUCCCAAUGUUAUCAUCCACCCCAUGGAGCUGACAAAAAAAAAACAAAGAAAAUGUUCACCAAUGAUGAAUCAAUUCUGAACGGAAAGAUAAGUUUAGCCAAAUUAUUUUCUCUUCAAUAAGCUGCUUGGAUACACGGCCUUAAGAUUCAAAUAUUAGAAAAACCUCCGAAAUCAAUGAAAGAAGUAUAGAAGACAAGUUAAACCACGAGAAAGAACAAAAAGUUGCCCCAAAAAGGAACAACCAAAGUUUAAGACAUACUGCGUUAUGAGCAUGCAAGAGAGACUGGCGCUGCUGAUGCAGGUCUUGAAGAAUAGAAACACCGAGCUCUUCUGUCUCCAACAUAGUUCUUCGGCUAUCCUUGACUCUGUCGGUGGUUUGAUUCAGCCUCUCUGUUGACAUCAACAACCUUCCCCUUUGAUCAGCAGAUACCUGUGUCAUAGUAUUCCAAUCCAAACUCAACAAGGAGCUUUAAAAAAGACGAGUCUGUAGUUUCUAACACAGCACAAGUACACUAUAUCAUAACUAAUUAUUGGAUAUUGAGAUACUAGUAGCUUAACAGAUCAUUUGGCAAUACUAGGUUUAAAUACUAAUUGAUAAUUCGACAAGGGUUAAAUACUAAUUGAUAAUUCGACAAAGGUGUAAGAGUAUGCGCUUAAAACAUUGUUGCAUAUGUCAACAGACAGAAUAGAUUUAGAACAUGUUUUGACCAAAAACAUUAAAUAGAUAUAUGGUUGCAUGUAAAUGAAGUUGAUGAGACACGCAUACAAAACUCCUCAUCAAUUAAAGAAGCAAAAAGUGCAGUCUACUCCUUUUACAGUAAAAGAAAGGAAAUAGUCAAAUAGUUAGAUAAGAGGCAUGGUGAGUCGUAGUAUAUGAGAUGAUCAACCUUCUAUUCUCCCAGCAACAAAAAACAUGACUUUCGUUACCAGGCUAGCUUUCCAACUAUUACCAACAACAUAUAGGCAAAAUCAGCAACAUUUUCUCAAUCAUACUUAAAAUGCACUAGAAAUUAGGAAACAACUUUAUAUUAAAAGUUUGAUAAAGGAAAAAAAAAAUCUUAUUAACCUUUCGAAAACUUUCCAUGGAGCUCCUGAACUGAUGAAUUUAGCAAAUGAUGCAAACAGAUACCUUGUUUCAAUCAAACUACAGGGAUAUCGUAAGUUGCCUUGUUUUCAAAAAUGCACAAAUGUUCUGCAAACUAUGGUAGAGCUACGUAAGGUUCUCUGGAGUAACGCUUCUUUUACUUGCAGUCAUCUGCUUCAUUCUUUCAUUCAUGACCGAAACUCCUCAUUUACUUAGAAAAUGUGCAUUUUCAGCAGUCAAGCAGCAUAACAAUACCUCAACUCGACAAUUAGGAAGCAACCAGAAAAUUAUUCAAAAGAAAAAAAAACUUGCCGAGGAAAUCACUAUGAAAUGCCAUAGUAAAUACUUAAGCUGCCGUAGAAAGUAGAAACACUAUAGAGAAUAAGUUCUCUUGCCUAUUGUAGCACUGCAUCAUUCUCCAAUUAUUUUACGUCAAUAACACACAGUAUUGGGAGGGGUGGAAAAACUGUAAUUAAUCCGAAUGAGUUAACAUAAAUAGAAAAAAGGGGCGCAAACUAGGAUUUUUGGAUCAAACUAACCAUCACAAAUCCUCAAGAAAGAAGAAAGCUAUGUGCUUACCGCCAAUGUAUCGGCCAUUCCCGACUCCAACAAUUCCUCUCUCGCCGCCUGCUUAGGAUUAGCACUUGUAAUACGUUUAAGCUCACUCUUCAGAUUGUUUAGAUCGGAUUUAUACUCCCUUAACUUUGCCAGCAAUCCGGCCUUCACGCUCGGUUGCAAACUUCUCGCCUCGAGAUCCAUCUUCCGGAUCUACAAAAUUACAAUAAAUCCAUCCAUUUAAGAUUGGCAUUACCAUUACCAAAUAAUUUCCAAAAUGCAGUUAAAAUAAAAUUACUCCAGGGUCUUUUAGAGUAUAUUACCAAAGCUUCGGCUUCAUCCAAUCCGGAUUUGAUUUCCGACACCUUUUGCUUCUUUUGUUCUACGAAAUCAAACACAGAUGAUUUCGAUCAGACUUAGAAAUCGAAUAGCUCAAAAGAAAAGCAACAUUAAAGUGCUGAGAUUCACAUCAAAGUACUCACCUCCUUCGAGAGCAGCGGCCGAAGUGCAUUUCCGCAAGAGAGACGCGGAGAUCUCGCAGUAUUGGCGCUCGUACCCUUCGAAUACCUCGCUCAUCGCGUCUCGUUUCAAUUAAUCACUCCAAAUUUGAUCCGAUCGCGCACUUGUGCAUAAAAAAGGAAUCAGAUCCAGAGAUUAAAAAGGGAAUUAAUCCGACAAAUUCGAUCGAGCACCGAUCAGAAACAUGGCCUAAAUCGAUCAUCAUCAAACCCUAACCCUAACCCACAAAUCAAUCUCAGACAACUUGAUCAGAUCAAAUUAAAUCCACAAUAAGCGAGAAAAAUCAUCUGUAAAAGGAAGAACAUAUACCCUGAAAUGGUCGAUCUUACGAUUAUAGCACCCCAAAGAGGCGAGAAAGAUCAAAUAAUGGAGAGAGAGAGAGAGAGAGAGAGAGAGAGAGAGAGAGAGAGAUCGAGGGAGGAGGGAGAAGAGAGGAGGAAGAAGAAGCAGAGGGGAAGGUGCGAGAUGGGAGCGCACCGAUCCCGCCUCGGUCGUCUCGGAUUGGACGCGACAAACGUGGGGCCCACGGCUCGGUCUCGUGGGCCCCAUCCUGCGAUACACCCAACCAUCACAUAUACCCACCGUUGCAACUUGCAAGCCCACGCUCUCUUCUAUUAUUGAUUUAUUGAUUUAUUUCCUCCACCGCAUACCCUUGCUCUCGAUGCAUCACGCCGUCCGGAUUCUUCCACGUGUCAGACUACGAGGAUAGAUCCUGACCGUCCUUUUGCUGUUCUUCAUCACGAUAGUGCUGUAUCAAACUGUCCACAUGAGAUCCGCCGUCAAAAUCAAUAAUCCCGAGUCGCAGUGGAAACAGAGUCGUCCGAUGAUAAUCAGACGGUGGACAACGCGCGGUGAGGCUGUAACUAACCGUAGUUAGGUUACUCGAGUGGCGUCGGUUAGAGAACUUGAAUUAUUGGAGUCAUUAAAAUUAAUCAAUUAAAUUAUUAAUUAAUUAAAAAAUUUAAGCCCCCGGUAAAAAUAUUUUAAAACGAGGCAACGGCGUUAGAUCUAACGGCGAUGGCGGAGCCAUUCGAGCUGAAACGGCGCGCCUUAACGGGAGGAGCCCCGUGGUGCUCCGAGGCGUAGCUAUCUGUGAAUCUGGAGCGUCCGUUUCUUGAUGGAGGAGCGAGAAUGGUUCGAUGGACGGACGGGGAUGAUCCGCUUUUGGUGAACCGUGAACGGAGAAACGGAAGGGGGAAUGGGAAGCGAGAGAGAGAGAGAGAUGUAUAAAAGGCUUUGGCUCUCAAUGAAGAAGAGAGAGGCACACAAACAGAGAGAGAGAGAGAGAGAGAGAGAGCAUUCUCCGAUCAGAGCUCUUCUUCUCGGAGGAACGAUUUGGGAGAAAAAUAAGAUACGAAUUUAGGUAAUGGAGGUAUAAUUUGUUCAUCCUAAGAUCAAAGGUUUUGCUUUGUUGUUUCAUUCUUCCUCUUUCCCUUCUUCUUCCUCUUCCUCUUCUCCUUCUUCUUCUUCUUCCUUUGGACGGUUCUUUGAUCGAUCCUGUGGAAACUAGAGGAGAUCGAGAGGAACGUGGGGAAUUUGAGCAUUUUCUCACUGCGUUUUGAUCUCUCCGUGGAUUGCACAUCUCCGAUUUCUAAUUCGCUCUUUGUUUCGGGAUUCGCAGAGGGUGAAGUAGGGGAUUUGGGGGAUUCAAUCUCACAACAGAGAAGAAACUGUAAGAGCUGUAUAAAAUUCAGAUUCGUAUUUUCUUUUCCUCUCUCGAGGAAAGGUAUCGUUUUUCUUCUGGUUAAUUGCCCUCGCGAUUUGUCUAAUUGCUUGUUGUGUCGAUCUAAAACUAACAACGAUCCAUUUUUUGAUCGUUUAUCAGAGAUGUACAUGGGUUUGUGCUCAACAAUGAAAUCGGAGUUCCUCAAAGUUGAACUGCGUUAGAACGGAGUUUCCACGAUCUCUGCUUCUUCUUCUUUUCUUCUUCAGGGGCGAAACUGAAAGGAGAUUAAAGGUUUGCUUCGAUGAUCUUCCGAUUUCUUAUGGUUUUAAUCGGUUUUGCCUCUAUUUGGAGCAACUGGUGUUGUUUCCCCUUGUUUUCUCACCGAUUUUUGUUCCCACUGCAGAGAAAAAUUUAAAGGAACCCCCCAAUCUGUGGAUAACAAAAGGUGGAAGAGGAGGAGCUCACGAUCCAAUACUUUGUGUAGAUCGCUACUUCUGCGAUCUCCCUGUUGCGUUCGGCGUUAAUUGGUCUCGUGAAGAGAUCGCAUUUACGCUGUGUUUUCUCGAUUGCUUUGGGUCUCUAAGAAGAGAAGGAGAGCAAAUCAAGGUAUAGGUUUUUACUUUCCUUCUGGAUUUGGUUUUUCUAUUUUUUAUUUUCCUUCUCAUUACUUUUCUCUGAUUUCAAAUUCCUUUCAUUUGUUCUCUAAUUUCCAACUCCUCCACACCCCUGUUCCUUCUCCUCCUCUGUUUUCAUCCUUCUUUUUUUAAAAAUAAAAUUGGUGCUUUUGUUUGAUUAUGGCUCAUAGUUGUUCCUCAUCCGGUUCAGUUGUUUUUCGAUGAGGCAUUGCGUUGAAGCUGUUCAGAAAUUUGUUACUUUUUUCGAAUUAAUCUUUUUUUUCUUUUGAGAUUUUACUUUUUCUUCCCUUCAAUCCUGUUUUCUCCAAUUUCGGAGUUUUUUUUUCAAUUUUUUUUUAAUCUUUGUAGUGUAAUUUUCAUCUCGCUUCCCCUACUUUCCAUUGAUUUGGGAGACAAAGUUGCAAAAUUUUCCUCCUGAAAGUGUUCUCUAAAGCCCAAUUUUAGUUACCUCUAUUCUUUUGAUUUUACUGGUGUUUUCUUUGAUUAAAUCUUUUUUUUAUUUGAUUUUAGUUCAUUUGACGAGGCAUUGUGUUUUGAUCUGUUUGAAAAGUCCCUUCCUUUUUUCUGAUAGGACAAUUUCCUGUUAUCUUCUUUUCCCUAAUCCCAAAUUUUUUAAUUUCCUUUUUAUUUUUUAUGGUAUUGGAAUUCUCCCUCGGUCGCCCCCUUUCUUAGCGCCGAUCCCAGUAGUUUCUAUUGUUUAAAUUCUCUAAUACCCUCUUCCUCCUCUGUUACCUUGGUUUUUGGCGGUUUUUUUUUUUUUAUUAAAGCUUAUAAUUGUUUUUCUAAUUUUAUUCAGUUCAUUUGAUGAGGCAUUAUGUUUAAUCCGUUGCUUUAAUCCGAUUUGCCACUUUGUUUUUUUUUUUUGGAUUUUCAGGAAUUAGAUCUUUCCCUCGCUUCCCCUUGAUCCGAGAGAAACCUCUUCCUUCACGCAGUUUUGAUAUGAAGAGAUUAUACUUACUUUAUUUUAUUCCUCCUCUCAUCCUCUCCCUCUCUCUUUUUUUGUUUUUGUUUUUAUUUUUGUUUUAUUUUGUAUUUUUUAUUCUAUUGUGCUCUCUUUCUCUCUGGUUGUUUUCUCCACCCGUCUUCUUUUGCUUUCCUCUUUUUCAAAGUACCCUUUUUUUUUAAUUAGCGUGGCUAUUAAUUCCUUGAAUUAUUCUAGUUCACAAGAUGAAAAUUUUGCCUUUACUCUUGUGUAAUUCUCCCCGAUUGCCACGUGUCACCUCCUGUUAUUUUACUCAGGCGAAGGGGUCACAUAUAUAGCAAGAGGGGGGGUGGGGGAUGAUGGAGAGGGAGACGAGAAAUCACUAUCAUACCCGGGGAUCUACUGGAGGAGUAGGCGGCGGAGUCGGUGGUUUCGGUUCGAAUCUCAACCACAAUCACAGCAUCAACGGUUACAAUGUGGUGGCGCCGCCGCUCGGGGAGGCGGAGCUGCCGCUGCAGUGGGGCAACCGGAAGCGGCUGAGGUGCGUCAAGGUCCACCGCAAGGACGAUUCUGCCGCCGCCGCCGCAGCCGCCGAUANGCGUCGUUCGGGCCGAUAAGGACUCCGCCAACCCCCUCCUCCGCCGCCCCUCCCCGCCGCAGCGCCGCAUCCUCAGGUACCCAGCUUACCUACCUCUUCCUUAAAUUCAAGAGUCAUUUGUAAUUAGUUUUCUUAACUUAGACCUAAUUAAAGUUUACCUUAAAUUGAAUAAUUCAAUUAAAAUAAUUUGAUUUGAUGAAGUUAGAAAUUUUAUUACUUGUUAAUACUAACUAACUAGGCCAAGUCAUUAAUUUUAAUAAAAUCGUCUUAAAUAUUAAAAAUUUUAGUGAAUAUUACUGGAAAAAAAAAUAAAGUAAAGGUGAAGGCUCCAUUUCAAAAAAGUUCCUUUUAUCUUAAUUAAUUGAUUCAGUUUAAUUAGGAGGAGGGGUUUGAGUAACCCCCAAGUUUGGGUAUUUGUUUGAACAUUAAAGAGAGAGAGAGAGAGAGAGAGAGAGAGAGAGAGAGAGAGACUCUAUACCGUUUGGUUCGGGUAUAAGCAAGAACUAGCUAUUACAGGAAUAGGUACAAGUAUUGGGAUAAGAAAAAUAGCGUUUGGAUGAAAAUUGGGUUGUUCCCGAGGAUAAGAAAAAUAUUAGAAAGUUUUAUAUAGAAAAUAGAGGUGUUGGUGGGGAUAACCGAGAACUACUAUUCUCGGGUAAAAAAUUAGCGUUUGGAUAUAAAGGGGGGGAUAAGGGCCUAUCCCUAUCCCU
rnacentral:lncRNA from 1 species